AGGGAUGAAAGCAAGGCAUGGUUGGAUGAAGGCAAGGAAUGGGGAUCUUCAUUCCUAUUCGUCGAAGGCCAUGUCUAAUGGACUUCAAGGAGGCUACUUGAGGCCUUAUUAGGAAUUAGGGUUUUUUUUUCAAAGUCAUUCAAGCUUUGGAGGCUAGGGUCAGCAAGUUCAAGAUUUUGGAUAUAAUUUGGAUGAAGAGUUUGUGUGAUUUUGAGUUUUUGUGAAAGAGAUAUAAGUGUUCAAAGUUAAGGUGUCAAAUUUAUACCUACUGUCACUCUUUGAAGCAUAAUAUAUGCGAUCAAAGAUCAAUGAAAGAUCGGCGAUUGGAGUUGGAGAGAACACUUUUUUGGCUACACUUUAUAUAUAUUGUUUGAUGAAUUCUAGGUUUUGAUGAAGGAAUUAUAGGGCAUUGAAGACAACACAUCUAAUUCAUUUUGUUGAUAGUAAUGGUUGGAGCCAUAUCUUGAGAUUUUGGACGAAUUUUUGGCUCAAAAGUUUUGUAAGUGUGAGUUAUUAAGUUAAGAAGCUAUAAAGCAAAUUUUCAUGGUAUUUGAGUAUUUAUUUUGUGAGAUAUGAGAUAUGCAGGUACAUGUAAGUUAGGAUUUAAAGCUACUGUUAGGAUUUUGGUGAUAUCUCAAGAUCCGUAAUAAAUUUGAAUUUUUUUUGAUAAUUUUUUGAAAGUAUAUCAGUAUUUCAAGUAUAAUUUUAGGUUGUUUGGAAGGUCCGAUCAUGAGAUAUGAACUAUUGAAGUUUGAGUAACAUUUCUCAUGAGGAUAUACAUUGACAAACAAAACUGAGUAUAAAAUCUAAACACUCAUAGUUCAUUGAUCCUUCCAACUGACAUAUAAGUCAAUUGAUAGAAUUACUUUUUUAUUGUGUGUAUUCAUCUAGUCUUCUACAUGGAUGAAAAAUCUCAUUAUCAUUUGAGGUAGGGUUUAUGAGAAAAGUAUUGUAGAAGCACACAGAUGUGCAUACUUAGUUUUGGUUACUUCUUCUUGCUGAAUUUCGAAAUUUCAAUGUACACUCCUUGUUGCAAGAUUUGAGAGCAUUUUUUAUUUGUUGUAUUGCUCUUGUUGUGUACUAUCUAUAGUAAAAGUUGAUUUGUCAAUUGUAUCUCUAUGCCUCGAUUGUGUGAAUCAUUGAAGCACCAAGCAUUCGUACAACUUAGAAGUGGUAUUUCUACAAGAAAAGUUGCAGACUCACUUGGAAUGAGUUAGUCUUCAGUAGCUCAUCUGAGGAGGGAGAUUAGUGGUGAAAUAGAAAAGCAAAGAGGAGGACGUCCAAAGGUUUUAGGAGAGCAAGAGAAGCGACUUGGUGUGCACCUUGUCACUGCUGGUUGUCUCAAAACAGCAAGUGCAGCUGCAAAACAACUUCAAGAAAAAAUAAGAAAACACUUCUCAAACAUCACCGUGAGGCGUGGUUUGAGAGAAGCUGGUUUGGGUGCUUGUGUGCAACAAAAGAAACCUCUACUUGCCAAAAGACAUGUGCUUAUAAGGUUGAGUUUUGCUCAUAAAUACAAAAAUUAGAUCGUUGAUGAUUGGAGACGGGUUAUUUUCAGUGAUGAGACAAAGAUUAACCUUAUCAACUCAGAUGGUAGGUCUUGGUGUUGAUUGAGAGAAGGAGAACGACCUAGACCUAAACAUGUUAGUCAAACUGUCAAACAUGGUAGUGGUUCAAUUAUGAUUUGGGGUUGUAUGAUUGCUUUUGAGCCAGGUGCUUGGUAUCAAAUUGAAGGUAGAAUGGAGCAACACUUGUAUAAAAAAAAUUUAGAAACCUACUUGCAAAGUACCACACAGAAUUACAACUUAGAUCCUACUAAGGUGGUUUUUCAACAUGAUAAUGAUCCCAAACAUAUGGCAAAAAGUAUUCAGUUUUGGCUCUCUUCACAACCAUUUCAGCUCCUUCAAUGGCCAGCUCAAUCUCCAGAUUUGAAUCUAAUGGAACAUUUUUGGGCCCUUCUCAAACAGCGUUUAAGCCAAGUCAUUCCAAGGCCAAGAGGUGUUCAAGAAUUGUGGAAGAAUGUUUGUAGUAUUUACCCUAGUUUUGAUGCAAAAGAUUGUGAGAAACAAUACAAAAGUAUGCCAAGAAGGAUUUCAGCUGUUUUGGAAGCAAAAGGUUAUUGGACUAAAUAUUGAAGUUUGAAGAUUUUCUUUGAACAAUACUGAGUACAAGACAUAGUUGUUGAUUUGACUUUGUAGAAGGAUGUUUAGUUAUCAAUUUGAUGUGCAACUUUGUACAUGUGUACAAGACUGUGUGUAUUAAUCCAUGUAACUUUCAGAUUUAUAAAGCAAUCAUUGAAAUUUCUGUAAUUGCUCUUGAAAGUUGGCACUUCAGAUUUUGUAUUCGGUUUUGUUUAUCACUGUAUAAGGUUUUAAGAUACUUUAUCAUACAUUUGGAUAUUUUUUUGGUACUCAGGCUUAUGUAUUGAUGUAAUUACCUUGUAAGGGAAAAUAUUAUAUAUAUAAAUUUUGUACUUUUAUAUCUUAGACUUGAUUGAGCAUUUAGUGGCUACCAAAAGCCCUGUGCUUUCUUGAGGCAAACUCUCUCUAUCCCGACAACAAUAGUCCAACUUAUCACAAUAACAAGUAAUCUUGAUAUUACAAUAAAGUAACCAUACCUUAAUAUCUACAUUAAAUUGUGGUUGUUCCUUUCGAUUAGCAUUUGCAUUGAUCUUUUGUUAUUUUUGAGCUUCCUUUUAUUCUCCUUUCAUUAUUGCAUGUAGCUCUAAUAAAUAAUUUGUCAAAUCUUUUGUCACAGGAUUAUCAACUUUUAAAAAAUCAAAAGUAUCAAAUUAUAGAUGAUAACCAUAAUUUAUAAAAAAAGAUAUUUGUUGCAUAAAAUAAUUGUAAGUUCAUGCCAAUACUCAUGCAUUGUAUUAUUAUAAGCAAACUCUGCCAAUGUCAAGAAGGUUGUUUAAUCAUCGUAUUGAUAAUUAAUGGUAUACCUUAAGUAUUGCUCCAAAAUUUGAUUUACAUAUUUUUGUAAUAUAACAUAAGUAAUAGAUAAAAAGAAUGAAAAAAUUAUUAUAUUAUAAAAGAUCUUACUUCAAAUAUUGUAGCAAAUUAUCUUAAAAAAUAGACAAAAGUCUAAAAGAAAAUACAAUUAAAGAUGUAAAUAUUAUUUUUUUAUAAAUUAGGCUUUUAUUUAGUUUUUUAGGCGAUAAAUAAGAUAAAAUAAGGUAGAUGAGAAAAAUAAAGAAAAUAAAUAUAUGUAGAAAAAAGUUAAGAAUUGAUUUUAGCAAAAAUUAACUCAAAAGAAAAAAAUUUGAUAUUUAGAGAAGACCAGUUAUCAACUUAGACCAAAUCAAAUCUUCAAGUACAAAACUAGGCACCUAAGGAAAAUUUGGGAUGUUUUUGCAAAUUAAAGAGUAAGAUUUGAAAGCAGACUUAAUAAGAUUUCUUUGAACAUUGAAUUUGAGUGAUUUAAGUAUGUAAUAACUUUGUAAGAGCUUUGUAAAGUUAUAGUUAUUUUAGGUGAUUCUAAGAUUUGAGAAAUAAAAAGGAUAUUAUAUUUUAGAGAAUUUUGUGAAUUUAGUAUUAGAUCUAUAAUUUAAAUUUUGAGGACUUAUUAGAAUAGUUAUUUGAAUUAUAUGCUACAAGUUUAAGACUAUUCAAACAAUUGAAUUGAAGGUUAUUGAAUUUCAUGUAGGUUGAGGUCUCAAAAAUUAGACUUUGAGGUACAGUUAGGAUUUUUAAGAUCUUCAACAAUCUACUAGUUGGAUUGGAGUGAAAUUUUUGUGUAAAGAUAAUAGACUUGAUUUACUACACAUUUGUGAAAUUUGAAAAUAAUUGAAUAGUUUAAAAAAGCGAUAUUGAGACUAGAAGUUCAACAUUGAGAUUGAAAUAGGAGGCUUGCCAAUACCCGAGUGGAUUAUAGGAUUUUUCUUCCAUUUGGUAGGUGCAAUUAUCUUCAAAUUUGUUAUAUUAUUUUUUAACUAAAAAAUUGAAAGAUGUAUAAAUUUUUAGGUAAGAUCCAUGAUUUAAUUAAUAGAUAUUAAGAUUCUAAUGUCCUUCGGAUUUGAUUAAGGAUUAAGAAUUUAUAUAGAAUUUGAUUUAAGGUUUAGGAUUUAUUUCGGAUUUGAUUUAAGAUUUAGGAUUUUUUUAGGAUUUGAUUUAAGGUUUAAAUUUUUUUUAAGAUUUGAUUUAAAGUUUAGGAAUUUAGGAAUUAUUUUAGGAUUUAGGAUUUUUUUAAGAUUUUAUUUAGGAUUUCGGAUUUGUCUAGGAUAUGAUUUAGAAUUUAAGAUUUUUUUAAGAUUUUAUUUAAGAUUUUGAAUUUUUUUAGGAUUUGAUUUAAGAUUUAAGAUUUAUUUAAGAUUUGAUUUAAGAUUUAUAGUUUUUUUAAGAUUUAGUUUAAGAUUUAAGGUUUAUCUAGGGUUUGAUUUAAGAUUUAAGGUUUGUCUAGGAUUUCGUUUAGGAUUUAGGAUUUAUUUCGGAUUUACCUAGGAUUUAGGAUUUGGCUUAAGAUUUGAUUAAAAUUUAUUAGGAUUUUGAUUAGGAUUAAUUUAAGACUUUAUUGAGAUUUAUUUAAGAUAUAUUUUUAAUUAUUUUAAUAUUUCUUUGGAAUUUCUUAAAGAUUCUUUUGAGAUUUAUUGAAUUUUUUAAAGAUUUCUUAUUUUUUCUUUUAUAAUUUCUUUAAGAUCUUUUUUGAAUUUGAUUAAAGUUUAUUUAGCAUUUUUAAGGAUUUAAUUAGUAUUAUUUAAUAUUCUAUUAGAAUUAAAAUUUUGUUGUUGCAAUUUCCAUUCUACUUUCUAUUGCCAAGUACUUAAUGUAUUCUUGAACAAGACUUCACAUAAUAUAAUAGUACUUUAUUUGUCCAUCAGUUUGAGGAUAAAAGGCCAAAAAAAGUUUUAUGUCCACCUUUAGAAUCUUAAAAAGGAUUCUCUAAAAUCUUGAUAUAAAUCAAGUCACCAUGUCCAAUAUAAUAUCUUUUAGCAAUCCACAAUAUCAAUAGAUAUUAUCAAGGAAAAGCUUGGCAGUUUUUUUUAUCUAUGAUAGAUUUUAUACUAUUUUAAUAAAAAAAUCUAAUAUCACAAAUAUAGAAUCAUAUAUAUCUGAGAUUGGAAGAUUUUUAAUAAAAUCUAUAGAAAUAGAAGACCAUGGAUGUUUUGAAAAAAGUAAUAGUUGAAGAAGUCCAUAAAGUUGAUAAUGAAGAAUUUUUGAUCUUGAACAAAUGUCACAUAAUUUCACAAAGUCUUUUAUAGUCUUCCACAUUUGUGGCCACCAAAAAUCUCUAUAUAUUAGCUUUAAAGUCUUGUUAUAUCCAAAAUGUCCUACUUUUGGAAAGUUGUGACAUGCUUGAAGAACAUGUAGAUGUGCUUAUCCUUCUAGAACAUAUAGGCAUCUUUUGAAAUAAAGUAGGUUGUUCUUGAACUCGAACUUGAAAGUAUUACAAUAGUUAAAAGAAAUAUUCUUGAUAUCAUGAAGAAGAAGAUCAAAGGAUAUAUUUGAUUGAAUUUGCUUGAAAAAAAUUAAAUCAAUAAUUAAUGUUGAUUUCACAAUAAUUUCAUCUUUUAUUCUUGCUUCAAUAAAAUUUUCUUUUAUUAAUCAAAAACUGCAAUUCCUUCUUUUGGUACAAGAUAAGAACAUCUUAAAAAGGCAUUGAAUAAACCUUGUUGUUUUUGUAGCUAAUAAGUGAUAUUGAACUCAAAUCUUGAGAAAGACAUGCUCUAAUAAGACUGGUGAUGAUUCAAAAUAUGUGCUGACAUGUCAUUCUUCAAAAGAAUCUACAAUUGUAAGAAGUUCUUCGUCAUGGAUCUCAUAGUUAAUUUUGGUUGCUGAAAAUUUCCUAGAAUGAAAAGCUAGUAGAUGAAGCUUAUCAUCUUCUCCUGAUUGUCAUAAAACAACAUCUAUAGCAAAAUCUAAUGCAUUUAUUUCCAUAAAAAAUGCCUUGAAAAAGUUGAUAAGAUAUAAUAUUGGUACAAAAAUAAAUACAGACUUCAAGGCUUCAAAAGAUGCUUCAGCUUCUUUGCUCCAAUUAAGUUUGUUUUUGCAUAUAAGACAUAUAAGAAGAGCCUCAACUUGAGAAUUUUUUUUGAUAAAGAUCUUUGAAUCCAAAUUUCACCACUAAAUGAAAUUGAUCCCACACAACAAGUUCAAGAGGUGGAAUUGAAGAAUUGACAAUUGUGUAAUUUCUAAGUUGUUUUAAAUCUUAAUGUUAAUAAUUCAAUUAACUUUAAGCCUUCUAAUUAAUAGUUACUAAUAUUAAUAAAAAAAAUAUUUAAUAAAAUUACUAUGGUUUUCAAGGCUAUUUACAUUAUCUCUACUUAUAUUUUGAUGAUUUUUUUAAGAUUACAUAAUCCUUAAUUACUCAUUUUUAUAUGAUUAAAAAUUUAUUAGUAAUUAGAAUAAAUAAAUAAUUAAUUAGUUCAAACUUAUAAAUUAUUAUAUCUUAAAUAAUUGAUGGUAAAAGUAAUUGAUCAAAUUAUUACCAUUAAUCCAUAGUAAAAGUAAAAAAAUCUUAAAGGUUGAAUUAAAAGUAAAAGUUAAAAAUAAAAAUUAAGAGUUAAAAGUAAAAGAGAAAAGAUUAAAAAUUAUAAGUUAAAAACUAAAAUUUAAAAGUUGAAAUAUGAAAGUUACGAAUUACUAUAAAAAUAAAAAUAAAAGUAAAAGAUAAAAGCAAAGGUAUCUUAAUAACGCCAAAGAAUUGAGGGCAGCAAAUCCUUUUUAUACCAAAAUUUGCUAAAAAUUAUGAUUAAUUCCAAAUUGAAUGAUUUUUUGUAUUUUUCAAAGUUAACUUAUAGGAUGUUUUAAUAAAAAAGAUGUUCCAAUUAUUUGAAUUCACUAUUACAUCAAAGAUAAAAAAUCAUGUAAGGUCUAGUAUAGGAUAUUUUGGAGGUUCAUAGAAAAAAUUAUCUCAAGCAUUGAAAGAUGAAUUUUUCUUGAUAGAUAGUGAUUAAAUUACAAAGAAAUUAUUUUUUUGAAUGGAUUAAAAGACCAGAGAAGGGCCUUUUAGUAACAAAAUUAUUAAGAGAGUUUGAAAAGUAAUAUUCUUCUUUAUCAAAGAAAGGAAGGCAAUUAUUUGAUCCAAGUAAACUCCAGCUCUUUCUUCAAAUGGAUGAUAGAGAAUUGCAAGAGAAGUUAAAAAUCUUGCUUCAAGAUAACAAAGAAGAUGAAAGAUUAAUAAUAAAUUGAAAGGAAGUAGAAGAGGUUGUAGGAUUGUUGCCAAAAAGAUAAAAAAAAUAAAUAAAUAAAUAAAAAUAGGAUGGAUAUAUAAAUACCAUUACAAGCGUCUAAAGUAAAAAUGUCUACUAUUCAUACAAUAUCUUUAAUUCAACCUUCAAUAGCUACAUCAAAGAAUGAAGAAAUAGGCAUCUAUGAAAUCAUAUACGAUGUUAUACUGUAAAUGCUUAUAUUAUAUAAAAAUUAGUUAAAAUAUAUUAUAUAUUGAUAAAUAUAAAUGAGUGUUAGAGUGAUUAGUAGAUUAAAUUAAAAGGAGUUGAUAUAAGAAACCUUACUUUGUUUCUUUUAUUUUUUUUGAUUUUAGUAUAUAUAUAUAUAUAUAUAUAUAUAUAUAUAUAUAUAUGACCUAAAUAUUUAGUAUGAAGCCUUGAAAGAAGGUGGAAGCCUAAGAAAGAAAAUUCAAACUAGUAGGAGGCUAAUUAGAAGGAAUAAAAGUAAGGCAUGGUCAGAUGAAGGCAAGGAAUGGAAAACUUCAUCCCUACUGGUCGAAUACUAUACCUAAUGGACUUUGAAGAGGCUGUCUACAACCUUAAUAAGGGUUCUAAAAACUUCAAAGUAGGCAUUUGGAAAUUAAAAGCCAAGAUUAUAAGGUUUAGAAUUUGGACUAUAAUUUGUAUGCAAAAAUUAGAAGAUUUAGAACAAGGAUGAAGAAAUUAUAGUCAUUUGAAGUUAAGGUGUAAAUUUAAGAUAUACUAUUACUUUUUUGUAAAUACAAGGAAUUAUACAAUAUUUUUUGAAGUUCAAAAGGUGCAGUUAGAAUAGCAAUUUCAAAGCCUACAUCUUUUAUGAAAGAAUUGUUGUUUUUGAAGUUUAUAUAAAGAAAAUAUAAGGAAUUGAAGGAAAUACUUUUAAAUCAAAGAUAGCAAGUAAAUGAUUUUGUAUAUAGUAAUGGUUGGAGCCAUAACUUAAAUUUUUGGACGAAAUUUUGGCUCAAACUUUUUGAACAAUGAAAAAUUUUGUAUUACAAAACUAUACAUAUAAAUUUUGUGGCAUUUGAGCUUUUAUUUUGUGAGAUAUAAAGAAAAUUUCAUGAGGGAGUAUAAAAACAAGGAUUUGAAGUGACUGUUAGGAUUUUUAAGAUAUCUCAAGAUUUGCAACAAAUUUGUAGUUGAAAUUUAUUGUAAGAGUUGAUAAGAAUACAUCAGUACUUCAUAUAAAAUUUGAUUAAGUUUGGACAGUCGGAUCAAGAGAUAUGAGAUAUUGAAGUUUAGGAAAAAUUUUACAUAAGGGUAUAUAAGGUUUUAGAGGAUUUUAUCAUAUUUUGGAUGUUGUUGGUUACUUGAGGCUUAUAUAUUUGGUGUAAUUGCUCCAAAAGGGAAAUUUUAUAUAUAAACUUAGGGCUUCUUUGAUUUUGAAGCUUGAUUGAGCAAUUAGUAACAACCAAGAGUCUAGUACUUUCUUGAGGUAAACUCUCUCUAUCCUGAUAUUUUGGUGCUUCCACUAAGAGAGCCUUGAGGCAUAAAUUUUUUACUAAGUUGAAAUGGAAGAUCAAAAUCAAGGAUUUAGAUUAUGAAGAGGAGUUUGCUCAAUUUAUGAAAGAUAGAUAAUAGGUACAUAGAGAGGAUAUGAGUACUAUUAACGUCUUAGAAGUAGUGGUAGAUAAGAUUGGAAGGUUUGAUGGGAGGAACAUUACUAAGUUCCUCAAGAUUUACACAUAAGAAAUGGAGGUGAAUCAAGUUUCAAAAAUAAAGAUAAUUAUCACCUUUGAUUUGGCAAUAGUACCAAAAAUUAAGGAAAUGAUGCAAGAAUUGCAUGUAGAGGCUAUAUAAUGGAAGAAAUUUGAAGAACUCUUAAAAGAUAAAUUUUUUAAAGAAGAUUUAGAAAGAAUGAUCAAAGUGACUUUUUUGGAAUGGAUUGAGCAAAGGCCAAGGAAUCAAAUGGCUCCAAAUGAAUUAAUUAGGAAAUUUGAAAUUAAUUUUGAUCAAUUGCCAUGGUAAGAGAAGGAGCUAUUGGAAGCAAGAAAAACAGGGUUAUUCUUGCAAGUAGCUGAUGAAUACUUGGAAGACAAGCUUUUCUUUCAUUUAGUUGAUAAGACAUUUGAGAGCAGUUUUACAAAUAAUUGGAAGCUUAUAAAAGAGAAAAUGGGGCUUCUGACUAAACAGCAAAAGAUUAAGACUCAUGAUUUAAUAUCAAGAUUGGAGCCAAUGCCUACAUCUCAAAAUUUAGUGCUACCUCAAAAGGUACUAAAGACUGUUAAAGAUAACACUCUUGAAGAAUUAACUAAAGGCAUACAAGAUUUGAAGGUAAAAAUGACUGAAUUGAAGAAAUCUCAAAUGAAAAGCUCAUCAAAGAUAGUUGAAGGUUCAAAAGGAUUUGUAAAGAGAUAUAUGUGGUAUGAUAAUCCAAACCAUAAGCGUGGUGAAUGUGACAGCUAUAAGGCUGCAAUCAAAGAUGAUAUUGUAUAUUUUAAGGAUGGUAGGAUAAGACUCACAAGAUCAAAUGAGCCUUUUAAGACUAAUUUUGAGAAAGGUGGCAUGAAAAAAUUGAUAGACGAGCAAAUAUUAAAGAAUAAUGCCAUACAAAAAAAAAAAGUUAAGUCUUAUUCUAUUACAGUUGAACAAAAAGCAAUUAAUGUUAGUUCUUUAUCAACUACAAAAAUUAUGAUCAGAGGAGCUGAAGUUAUCAAAAAAAUGACUAAGUGGAAUGAUCUAGUUGUUGCUAUUAGUAUUAAAGCAUAUUUAUGGGGGUACAAAUAUAAUGAUGAUCUACAUGAUGCUAUAGUUGAAGAAAAAAGAAAUAGAACUAUUCAUGAAGAGGAUGUUAUUGAGCGUGAAAACAAGAGGAGGUUUCUAAAAAAUAAAGAAGCUUCUAAAGAUGAAAAAUGAGAUAAGAUGCCUUCUUCUAAUCAUCUCGGUGGUGCACCAUUAUCAAAAGAGUGGCAUAAGAAGAACAAAAACAAGAAGGAAGAUGACACAAGUAAACUUAAAGAUAAAAAUCUUGCUUACAAGCUUUAAUUUGACAUUGAGUCAUCUACAGACAUAAAGAGUAUUUUAGAGAAAAAGAUCUUGAAAGAAAAAAUUGAAUUCACUCUAAGAGAUGCUUUGAGUAUAGCUAAGAAAUAUUUUCAUGAGUUGAUCAUCAAUGUGAUAAAGAGGAAGAGGCAAAUGAUAGCUAAAGCUAUUAUAAUAGAGGCAUUGAAUACUUGGGUAAUUAUGGAUGAGGCAGAAAAGAUAGGAUAGGUAUUUGCACAAUUUAUAAUGCCAAAAGCUGGAAAUAAGAUUGAUAUGGAAGAUAAGGCUUUAAUUAAGUAUGAAGAGACUAUAGAAGAACAUCAAAUGAAAUAUGUAUCUGUGAAAUUUAUUAAGAUAAAGAAGAAUGCAUAAAAAAUAUGUAUAAAUACUUGCUCUAAAUAUGAUAAUGAUAGAAUAGAAAGUAGUAGCUAUUCAGUUCCUUAUUAGAUUAUAGCUACUAUGGAAUAAUAGAAGAAUUAGGUUUAGAAGAUGAUUUGAUAAAAGUUAUGGAAAAUUUAGUUAUAAGCAUAGAGGCAAAUGCUAUGGUAGAAAUAUAUUCAAGAGAGACUUAUGAUGUGUUAAAAAAAAUAAUAGCAAUUGGUGGACUUGCUAGAAGCUAUGGAUUGAAAUAUGAGGCUAGAGUACAAACUAAAUAUAAAGUUGUGGUAAGAAAGAUAAAACCUAUAGUUACUUAGUUAUGAGUUGAUACUAUGAAGCAUUUUAAGCAAGCAAUUAAGAAACCAAAUGCAAAAGAAAGACGCAAAAUUGGACAUCAAUUUACUCAAAAAUCAUUAGCUAAGUUGAAGAUUGGAGGAGGUGAUCUCUUGACAUUAACAGAAAAAAAAUAUGUUCCAAAAAAUACUUAUUGGGUAUGAUAAGGCAUUUGCCUUAACUCUUGAUGAAAUAGGAUGUGUAGAUCCUAGUAUUGUAGUACCUAUGAUAAUCAUUACUAUGCAACAUGUUCCAUAGAAUUUAAAGCCUAUACCUGUGCCCAGAGCUUUACUUCUAAAAUUAAUAGAAUUAUUAAAAAAAAGAUGAAGAUGGAUAUUUUAGAAUCUUCAAUUAAUUCCUAUUUUAAUAGAUGAUUCACAAUAUCCAAGAAGUCAGGGAUGUAAAGGUUUAUUCAAGAUAUGCAACCUACAAAUAGAGUAAUUAUUUGAAACAUGGAAUCAAGUUUGAUAGUAGAUAAAGUGACUAAGUAAUUUCUAAGUCAUGCCAUCUAUUCUAUUAGAGACUUAUAUUCUAGAUAUUACCAAUUUUAAUUGACUAAAUAAAGUAGGGACUUAACUACCAUGAAGUCUCUUUUGGAUUUAAUGAGGAUGUGUACCUUAUCUCAAGGUGCAACCAACUCAGUGGCUCAUAUAUAAAAUACUAUGAAUCAAAUAUUGAAAGAAAUUAUAUAUAAGAAAUUGGAGUCAGUUAAUUUCACGUUAUCUUUGGAGAAAUCAAGCUUUGGAGUUAAUGAGAUUCUAGUAGUGGGACAUAUAUAUAGCAGAUAUGGUAGGAAAUCAAACUAUUGUCGUAUGGCAUGAUUUGCUAUCUGGGAAUACACUAGGUAUCUAGCUAAAGAGAAUGUAGCUUAAACCUUUAUAUGAUUCUUGUCUUAGCUUCCAAAACUUCUUUAUUUUUGUAUAAAACUCCAAAUAUAACAAAAUCCUUUCAAAACAUAUUUUUUCCGAGAAGGGUUUUCUUGCCCUGAAAUUUAGAAAAUCAUAACUAUUGAUCUAACCGUUCAGUUUAUCUCACAUUUACAAGAUAGGUAGAAUUUACCCUUAAAUUUUAUCACAAAAAACAUCAACCGCAAAUUCACUCUCGAUCUUUUGGCAUCUAAGAAAUUCUAGCAGAUGCUCUAAACCCUAAUUUAAAAGCACUUGAACACUAUUUUCUUAAUAUCUCAAGAAAACAAUACUCAAAUGUCAUCAAACUUAUGCAUAAAGUUUAGUAACAUAAAAUUACACAUUCCCUAAAAUUUUGAGCCAAAACUUUGGCUAAUAGCUCAUGAUAUAGCUCAAGAGACAACUACUAGUAAAUCGGGUUACUUACUACCCUUAGAUUGCAUGCACUGACUUCAAAAUCCAAUAACUCCUUCAUUUCAACUUGAAAUCCAGUAAGAAGUAUAUGAAAAGUGUAGCUGCAAAAGUAUUCUCUCCAAUCGCGGUCGCCGAUCCUCAAUUACUAUCUGUACGCAUGCAUUAUGCCAAAAAGAGUGACAAUAACUCCCAAAUCAACACCUUAACUUUGAGCGCUUGUAUCUCCUUCAUAUAAACUCCAAACCAUACAAAACUUGCACCAAAACCAUAGACAAAAUCCUAGACCUUCUGACCUUAGCCUUCAAAACUCAAAUGGCCUCGAGAAACUAACACUAAUCCCUAAUAUGGCCUCAGGUAGCCUCCUCAAAGCUGAUUGGUCAUGAUUUUUGACCAAUAAGAAUGGAGAUUUUCAUUAUUUAUCUCCAUUCAUCUAUAUUGGUGCUCUAAUUACUCCCUUUGCUACCAAAAUCCUUCUUUAAUCCUUUUUUUUUAUAAGAUUUAUAUAAUUUAUGCUCUAGACACCAAAUAAAAGAACCAAAAGAAGUUUUGAAAGGUCACCAAUGUCUAAUAAAGGUGAUUCUAAAUAUUUAGAAGUUACUAUCAACCAAAACCAAUCUUAAAAGCUACUAUCAAAAGGAAAUUAAAAUUAUACAAAUUCUAUAGUAAUCUUUUUAAACAACCUCUUCUCAAGGUAAUAAUCAAAUUAUAUUCUACAACCAACUAAAAUCUACUAACAUGGCUCUCACUAUGUUACUUAGUAAAUUAUAUAUUAAGUACAAAAUUACAUUAUUUUCAUAUAGUAGCCGAACCACAACACGACAUCGUGAUAAAAUUUUUACUGUAUCUAGGAUGAUGGCUUAUAGAAAUAUUACAAAAGCCAAAAGAUUUUUAAGAGCAUGUGUUUUCUAUCACAUUUGGGUGCUUUACUUUGCCCAUAUCUUUGAGCUACUAUAGAAGUUAUUUAGGAAGGGUAAGAGAUUUGUUUAAGAAGAAGAACAAGAAGAAGCUAUAAAAAAAUUGAAAAAGAUAUUGAAUUCACCAUCUGUACUUAGACAAGUAGAUUAUCAAUAUAGAAGACCAGUGGUUGUAACAAUGGAUAUAAGUCCCAUAGCAAUUGGAUGGGCUAUUGGACAAGAUGAUAUAGAAAGAAGAAGAUUUGCUAUAAGGUUUGGAGCUAGGAUUCUUACAAAGUGACAAAGGACUUAUCCUCAAGUUAAAAAAGAGCUUUGAGAGGCACUCAUACUCUAAAGGUUGAAAGGAAUUAUUUCAUUGGAGCAAGUAUGGUUUUGAAAAUAAAUUAUUUGCCAUUACUUUGAAUGAUAAUUAACUGUACUACUCUAGACAUUUCCAUACUAAUAUGGAUAGCCUAUAAAAGAACAUUGAAUCUUAUUUUAGUAUAUAUUACUAGCAAAAAAAACUUAAUAGCGGAUAUGUUUUUUAAAGCUAGAUAUACCUUUGAAGAAGAAAUGAUGGCACAUUAAAGAGGUGAAGAUCAAGAAGAGAAGAGUUAUAGAAAUUCAUUUGCUACUGGUAGAAUGAAUUUUCAUAAUAAGAUUCAAAAAUUCUAUAAAGAUUUGUAUGAAGGCAGAUUGAAGGAUAUUGAAAUUUAUUUAAGCACAGUGAGGAAACAAGAAGGAUGGAUGGAUAAAACCUUCAAAGAUAUUAGACAUCAAUCCUAUGAUUAUUUGCUUAGAGAUAGAUUCCUAUGGAAGAGGCCAAAAAGAAGUGAUAAAAUCCUAUUGAGGAUAGGAAGAGAUCUUAAAACUAAGUUUAAGUUUUUAAGAGAAUAUCAUGAUACUUUUUGGACAAGGCACAGAGGAAUUUGGACCACAUAUACUAAGAUUAAGGAAAGGUAUUGGUGGAAGGAUUUAUACAAGGAUAUAGAAGACUUUGUAAGCUCAUAUACAAAGUAUCAACUAUAAUCUAAAGUUAGAUAUAGAGAUGGAUUACAUCCUACUUAUCCACCUUCAAUAUAUUUUCAAUGGAUAAUUGAUUUGGUAGCUAUGCCAUCAAAACUUUGGGAUAUAAAAUAUUUAGUUUUGACAAGAGAAGAGCUAUCAAAUUGUGUUGAAGGGAGGGCUUUGAAAACCAAGACCACAGAAGUAGUAUGCAGAUUUAUAUUGGAAGACAUCUUCAGCAGAUAUGGUAGCAUUAGAAGGAUGAGAGCUGAUAGAAGAGAAUUAGAUACCGUUGAAGCAAAUUUUUUUUUGAACAAGUAUAGAAUUCAAUUGAAGUUAACUAUUUCUUAUAAUCGUGAAGCCAAUAGAAAGAGUGAGAGGGAUCAUCCUCCUAUUAUUUAUACAUUGGUUAAAACAUGUAAGGAUAGAUCAAUUCAAUGGCCUAAACUGCUUCCAUUUGCUUUUAUGGGCUGAUAGAACUACUGAAAGUAUUGUCACUAGUUAUAUACAUAUGGAGUUAAUAUUAAGACAAAAAUCUAUGAAGCCAAGUGAUGAAACCUAUCUUACAUCUACGUUGGAAAGAUAACAUUGAUAGAGAAAGAUUAUUGGAACUUUGAAUCCAAUAGUUGGAUAGGUUACCUACAAAUUGCAACUAAGAGGUUAUAGAGAGCAAGAUUAAAAAGUAAAGAAAGGUUUGAUAAGAUUCAUAAAUUGAGGCCUAAGCCUAUAGAGAUUAGGGAUUGAGUUUUAGUUUAUAAUAGCAGCCUUUAACAUCAGCAUAGUAUUGUAAAGAAAUUUACAAAAAAAUGAUUUAGAGUAUAUGUGGUAGUUAUAGUUCUUGAUAAUGCCACAUAUACUUUAUAUGAAUUAGAUGGAACUAACAUUAGAAUUCCGAUAGCUGGAAAGAUGAUAAAGGCUUUUAAGAGAAGAAAUGGGUAGUUCAAAAUGGAAGACAUUGAAGAAUUCUUACCACAAAAUUUGAAUCAAGAACAUCAAGAAGGAGAAACUAUGAAUGAUUUAGAGCACUUUUAAGAUGAUGAAGAGGAUUAAGACAUGGCACAUAUCGAAGGAUGUGCAGGUUUGGACAAGGUGGAUGUUGUAUUGUAAAUACUUACAUUAUGUAAAAAUUAGUUUAAAUAUAAUACAUGUUGAUAAAUCUAAAUAUGUUAGAGUGGUUAGUAGAUUAAAUUAAAAAGAGUUGAUAUAAGAAACCUUACAUUUUUUUUUAUUUAUUUUUAUUUUGAUAUAUAUAUAUAUAUAUAUAUAUAUAUAUAUAUAAGACCUAAAUAUUUAGUAUGAAGCCUUGGAAGAAAGAGGAAGCCUAAAAAAGAAAAUCUAUGGAAGGAAUAAAAGUAAGGCAUGGUCAUAUGAAGGCAAGGAAUGAAAAACUUCUUUCCUAUUGGUCGAAUACCAUACCCAAUGGACUUUGAAGAGGCUAUCAACAACCUUAACAAGGGUUCCAAAAACUAUAAUGUAGGCGUUUGGAAAUUAGAAGCCAGAGUUGUAAGGUUUAGGAUUUGAAUUACAAUUUGUAUACAAAAAUUAGACGAAUUGGAAUUAGGAUGAAGAAGUUAUAGUCAUUUGAAGUUAAGGUGUUAAUUUAAGAUAUACUAUUACUCUUUUGUAAAUACAAAGAGUUGUACAAAAGUUUUGAAGAUCAAGAGGUGCGGUUGGAAUGGCGAUUUCAAAGCCUACAUCUUUUAUGAAAGAAUUUUUGUUUUUGAAGUUUAUAUAAAGAAAAUAUAAGGAGUUGAAGGCAACGCUUCUAAAUCAAAGGCAGUAAGUAAAUGGUUUUGUAUAUAGUAAUGGUUGGAGCCAUAACUUAAAUUUUUGGACGAAAUUUUGGCUCAAAAUUUUUGAAUAAUGAAAAAUUUUGUGUUAUAAAACUAUACAUAUAAAUUUUGUGGCAUUUGAGCUUUUAUUUUGUGAGAUAUAAAGAAAAUUGCAUGAGGGAAUAUAAAGACAAGAACUUGAAGUGAUUGUUAGGAUUUUCAAGAUAUCUCAAGAUUUGCAACAAAUUUGUAGUUGAAAUUUUUUGUAAGAGUUAAUAAGAAUACAUCAGUACUUCAUGUAAAAUUUGAUUAAGUUUGGACGGUCGGAUCAAGAGAUAUGAGGUAUUGAAGUUUAGAAAAAAAUUUAUAUAAGGGUAUACAAGGUUUUAGAGGAUUUUAUCAUAUUUUGGAUGUUAUUGGUUACUUGAGGCUUAUAUAUUUGGUGUAAUUGCUCCAAAAGAGAAAUUUUAUAUAUAAACUUAGGGCUUCUUUGAUUUUGAAGCUUAAUUGAGUAAUUAGUAACAGCUAAGAGUCUAGUGCUUUCUUGAGGAAAACUCUUUCUAUCUUGACAACGGGAUGAGAGAUUUCCAAAUAAAAUUUAAAAAACUUAAAGAGAAGGGCCAAUCAUCAAGAAUAUCAAGAAGAGAAAGAUUAGGGCUAAUGGAAGGUGUAGUAUAUAGGUACAUGUGGUAUAAUAGUACAAAUCAUUCAAGAAGAGAAUAUGAAGAUUUUACAAAAGUGUUCCAUAAGAUUUGUUUUUUUUAAAGAUAGUAUGAUAUACUUAAAAUAAAGUAAAAAAAUUAGAGAUAAAUUUUGAUAAAUAAAGAAUGAGGGUAUUUGUGGAAGAUGCUUUUAAAAUAUUAGGGACCAUAUAUAAGACAAGGAUUCAAGAUCAAAGAAUAAAAUUAACUCGACAUCAAAACAACUAUUAGAUAGAAGGUAAGAAGGUCCUAGCUAGACCACAAGAAAUGAGUUGUCGAGACCGAGGAUCCCCUCAGCCUUCAUUCUUAUAUAUAUUAGAUUCUAAGAAGCUUCUUGAGAAGUUUUUAUGAGGCUUGACAAUAUAGCAAGCCUAAGAUUCUCGUUUGGUAAUUUAUUAAAUCAUCUAAAGCCUUUUAGAACCUUCUAGGACCUCCCAUGAUCUUUUAGAACUUUCUUAAAAUCUACCAAAAUCUUUUAGAAGCUUCUAGAACCUCCUAGAAUCUUCAAGAGCCUUCUUAGAAUCUAUUGGUAUCUUUUAGAAUCUUCUAAAAUCUUUUAGAAAUUUUUGGAAUCUUCUUCAGUUGUAUGUCGAUGACAUCACUUCUUCUUCUAACUUUGAGGUCUUCGAUAAGCAAUGUUACAGCAAGCUAAUAUAUGCGCAAAAAGUUGAAGAUCUAUCACAUGGUAUCCGCUAUAUAUUCCAGUUGUUUUUUGUGAGGUAAAUGGUUCAUAGGUCCUGAUGGCCAUUGAUAGUGCUCCUAGCCUUUUACUUGUGAUCAAGCAUAAAUUUUGAUAUCUUUAUUAUAGAAUUAUCUUGCAAACAUUUUUUUUGGAUAUCUUGCAUAAGUAGAUUCUACCUCAAACACAAUUAUCAGUGACUUAUUAGUAGGUAUCUUUUGAUAUCUUUGUGGUUCAAGCAGUUCUUUAACUCAAGGUCAUCUCUGCAAGAUACUUAGUUGAGAUGGUAUGAUAGAUAAGGCAUCUUUUUCUUGACUAUCCAUAUCAUAUAAAGUAGACAAGACCAAAAGAAUAUAAACAAGCUAUAGUCAUGAAUUCAAACUACUGACUUAUACCAUUCUAAAUAUUUGACAAUAAAUGCCUCUUCAGAGGUUGCCUCCCUUUUUUUUUUAUGAGGCAAAGAACUAAGAAUCUUCAUGGUGAAGCCAUCUUACCAAACUAUUAUUCUUCAUUUUGCUACUUUUAGUCUAGAUAGAUGUCAUUGAUGGAACCUUUGAACCUUUGUAUAUUUAUAAGGUUACUAAUUGGUUUUCAUGUCCAAUUGAUGAUAUCAUAUCUGUGCCAAUAGACCACAUAUUCAAGCCUUCUAUGUCUGAUCCUUGAAUCUAAUACCUCUUCUACUUCAAAUUUAACAUGAUCAUUGAUUUCAACCAUAGGAGGUAGUGGUUGUCUUUCACCUAGUAUGUUUGAUUCUUUAUACCUUUCCAAAAGUGAAACAUGAAAGACUGGAUGAAUUUUCAUGAAUGAAGGUAACUCCAAGUAAUAAAUUAUGUAAUUAAUUUAUUUUUGAAUCACAAAUGGUCCUAGCCUCUAAUAGUCCAACUUAUCACAUGGCUUGUUGAUUUUCAUAUUACACCAAAGAAGCCAUACUUUGUUACUAACUUGAAAGAAGGAUGUUUCUUCUCAAUUCAUCUGCUAAUAGCUUAUAAUGUUGUUGAGCCCUUUCUAGAUGAUACUUCAUGGCUGCUUGAAGUUUGGCCAUCUUCAUAGCAAACUCCUUUGCUACUGGAUUUAUCGACUUUGAAGGCUCUAUCAUAUCUAACUUUUGAUGAUGACCAUUAUUUAAAUAGAAUGGUGUUUGCUGUGUAGAUACAUGGAUUGUGUUAUUAUAUAUAAACUCUGAUAACAAUAAGUAGGAAGUUCAAUCGUCUUAUUGAUAGUUGAUGUUAUACCUCAAAUAUUACUCAAGAAUUUGGUUGACCUACUUCGUUUGGCCAUUAAUUUGAGGAUAGAAGGCAAAAAAAAAGUUGAUGUUAAUCUUAAGAAUCUUAAAAAGUACCUUCCAAAACCUUGAUACAAAUUAUGGCCCAAGAUCUGAUACAAUGUCGUCUAGUAAUUUGUGGUAAUAAUAGACAUUGUCAAUAAAGAGUCUAGUCAUCUCUUCAUUAGUAAUUAAUUUCUUGUAAGGUAUAAAAUGUGCCAUCUUGGUCAAUCGAUCAACAACUAUGAAGAUAGUAUCAAAUGAAUUUGAUAGUGGAAGAUCUAUAAUAAAAUCCAUAGAAAUAGAUGAGCAUGGUUGUCUUAGAAUAGGAAGGGGUUGAAGAAGUCCAUAUGGCGAAUGUCGAGGAUUCUUUGUCCUUGAACAAGUAUCAUAUGAUAGUACAAAUUCUUUAAUGUCUUUGCACAUUUUAGACCAUCAAAAGUCUCUAGAUAAAAAUUCCAAGGUCUUAUUGAAUCCAAAAUGUUUAACUGCUGGCAAGUCAUGGCAUGUUUAAAGAAUGCAUAGAUAAGUUGGUCCUUCAAAAAUGAACAAACAUUCUUCAAAGAAUAAGAAGUUAUCUUCAUACUUGAAUUUAGAAGGUUUUUCAAGAAGGUUAUUGGCAAGACACUUGAUAUUAAGAACAAGAGGGUCUAUGUUUGAUCAAACCUCAUCAAAAAAUAAUAAAUCUACAGGCAUUGAUACAUUGGUUGAUCAAAGAUGAAAUUGCUCAAGUUUUAACAAAGUCACCUAUUGUCAUAUUAUGUGGCAUUUGCCUUGAGAAUACAUUGGGCAUCUAGUUGUAGAAGAUAAAAAGAAAAUUGCAACAACAAGUUUUAACAACUCUAAUAGAUUUUUUAAAAAAUUAUAAUUAAAGAUUAACAAGUAUAAUUCAAACAUCAAUCAAAUUAAAUCAAAAUUGCAAAGGAAUUAUGUAAGAAAUACAAAGUAUUCCUAAAAAUCCUUUAAAUAAAUCAUAAAGAAAUAAUAUAGGAAUUCAAAAAUAUACUAAAAUAAAAUUUUUAAUAAAAUAUAAAAAUAGAAAUCUUAAUUAAAUCCUAUUAAAAUCCUAACUAAAUUCUAAAUAAAUCUUAGUCAAACCUUAACCAAAUCCUAAUCAAAUUUUAGUCAAAUCUUAACAAAAUCCUAACCAAAUCCUAACCAAAUUCUAACCAAAUCCUAGUCAAAUCCUUAUAAAUCUUAAUCAAAUCCUAAUAAAUCAUAAUGAAAUCCUAAUGAAAUCUUAAACAAACCUUAAUCAAAUCUUAGUCAAGCCCUAAAUAAUUCUUAAGCAAAUCUUAAUCAAAUCCUCAAUAAAACCUAAUCUAAGCUUAACUAAAUCCUAAUCAAAUCCUAGUCAAAUCUUAACUAAAUCUUAAUCAAAUACUAAUAAAAUCCUAAUCAAAUCCUAACCAAAUCCUAACCAAAUUCUAACCAAAUCCUAACCAAAUCCUAACCAAAUCCUAAUCAAAUUCUAAUCAAUUAUAAAUAAAUCCUAAAUAAAUCCUAAUCAAAUCUUAAUCAAAUCUUAGUCAAAUCCUAACCAAAUCCUAACCAAAUCCUAACUAAAUCCUAACCAAGCCCUAACCAAAUUCUAACUAAGUCUUAACCAAAUCCUAGUCAAAUCUUAACCAAAUCCUAAUCAGAUCUAAAUAAAUCUUAGACAAAUCCUAAACAAAUUCUAACCAAAUCCUAGUAAAAUUCUAAUAAAUCCUAAUCAAAUACUAAUCAAAUCUUAAAAAAAAAUUAAUCAAAUCCUAAUCAAAUCUUAAACAAAUCCUAAUCAAAUUCUAAUCAAAUCCUAAAUAAAUCCUAAUCAAAUCCUAACCAAAUUCUAAUCAAUCCAAAAUAAAUCUUAAUCAAACCUUAAACAAAUUCUAGCCAAAUCCUAAUCAGAUCCUAACAAAUCCUAACCAAAUCCUAAAAAAACCUAAAUAAAUCUUAACCAAAUCCUAAUCAAAUCCUAAACAUAUUCUAACAAAAUCCUAAAUAAUUCAAGUAAUUCCUACAGCAGAUUUAAACCUCAAUAACUAAUGAAUGAACUAUUGAUUUUAACUCAAAUUUUUCACACCUCUUCAAAAUCUUUGAUUGCAAUUUUAACUUGAUUAUAACUAGAAAAUCCAUCAAGAAAUGAAUAACAUUCAUGUCCAGCGACAACAUCCAAUAUACUAUCUAUGAAUGGUAAAGAAAAAUAAUCCUUCUUGAUAGCCGCAUUUAAUUUGUAAAAAUCUUGACAGAUGCAAACUUUUCCAUUCUUUUUUGAUACCAUAACAAUUAGUGAAAUCCAUUCACUAAAAAGAACUGGAUAGAUAAAUCCAACCUCCAAGAAUUUAUCCAGCUCUUCUUUUAUUAUAAGUAAGUAUUUUGGAUUAAAUCGAUGUUAUCUUUGGCAUACUGGUGUAGCAUUCUCCUCCAAUAUAAUUCGAUGCUUAUAAACUUCAUUUGGAAUUCCUUUCAAAUCCGCAUAAGACUAUAUAAAAGUAGUUUUAUGCAUUAAAAAGUAAUCCAUCUAAAUUUCUUUCUCCUUGCCUUUUAUACCAUCGUAAAUCUGAAUGAUUUGGAGAGCCUCCCCUAUACCUAAAUUAAUUGGUUGACAUCUUAGAAUUUCAGGAGUCUCUGCAAUAAUGUUCUGCUCUAUUUCAAAAUCUUUCAUAAAAUCCGACAAAUUAGAACUUUUCAACUCCAGUUCAAUAGUACUAACCUAAUUAACAUCUUGUCUAUUCAUCCAAUAUGCAAUCAUAUGAUCAGAAUCAUCAAUAACAUCUGGAGGAACUAAGUAUUUUCCCGAUCCCUUGUACUGAUAUUUCAUUCUAGUGUGCUCAACAAUUUACCUUGUAUCACCAUAAAUUGAGUCAAGUGUACCAAUUUCUUCUUUGGUAGACUUAUUUUCACAAUUUGAUGUGAAUUUUGAAUUGGCCAAUUGAAUUUCUCCAUGAUAUUGGAUAGGGUAUAUUUGAAGCUUAAUUUUAUCAUUAUCUUUUCUAAUUGUCAAUGUACUAUAGCCCCAGUCAUUUCGAGCUUUAGCUUGAUACAACCACGGUCGCCCCAAUAAAAUUGGAUAUGACAAUAUAGAGCUUCACAAUCAAAAAAUAAUAUAAUCAAUUUUGUAGAUAAUCCCCGCAAUUAUAGUAUCAAUACUUCGUAAAAUAUCCAUAGGUUUAACUCGAUUAGAAUCAACCAUUCUCAAAACCACUGUAGUAUACAAUAAGUGAUCCAAACCCAACUCCUCUAUUGUAGUGGCAUUCAUAAGAUUUAAACUAGAUCUUCCAUCUACUUGCACUCUCAAUACUAAUACUCCAUCAAUUGAGAUAUCAAUCGUUGGUGCACCCGGAUCAGGAUUCAAACUUACUUCUCAGAUUUCUUUAUUUUGAGAUCUGGACGAAUUAAUGAGGAAUUUAAGAUAGUUUGGCACUAAGAUGCUACUACCAAUAGUUGCUUCAUAGAGAUCAUGGGCUAUAUGGUACCCAAGUCUUUUAAAAUAUCAUAUGAUUUUGUAUUAGUGAUAGUUUCCAAUGUCCAUUUCUUCUUCCCAGUCCUACACACCAACGUAGGUAAAUUAGUUUUCUCUAUAUUCGAAAUUAGUAAAGCUACUAGAAUUAAAUUUGACAGAGCUUGUAAAAUUGGUUCUUUCAAUGAUUAAGAUUGUUCUCCUAAUUGGACUAAUAUUGGUUCCUUGGAAUUCAUGCCUCUUAAAGGAUCUUUCAAUGAAAAGGACGUUUUCUGAAACUGUGUAGAGAACAGAACAGCUUGAAACGGAAUCGAAGCCUCUAUAAUUGAUACAUCAUUGGAAUGCACAAUUGAUUCAUGUCUUAUAUUGAGUAAAGAGCCCAUGUCAAGACCUGGAUUGGAUAGCCCUAUUAUUUGGUCCAAUUGGCCCUUUGCUUAAGAAUCACCCAAAUGUUGAAUUGGUCCUUUCCCCUUUUGCUGACUUCUUGUAAGGAUAGCUUGAACUACUUCUACCUGAUGAACUGAUGAUUCCUGUGUCUUGUUAUUUUUUUCUUCUAUAAUUUGCUCAAUCGAUUGUAUCUUCUGAUCAUGGUUAUUAGAAAAAAAUGGAAAAGUGCAUUGAUAAUGAAAAUGACUCGAUUGCUUAUAAUUUCCACAUAUUGGAGCAUAUUCGUCUAUAAACCUUGGACUAGGGCAUUCACUGGCAUAAUGACCAAUUUGUUGGCACUGAUAGCAAUGUAGUGGUUUUUGGUCCAUACCAUCAGGUACACUUGGAGUCUCCACUGGAAUAUAUCUACUAGGCCGAUUCUAGGUAGCCAUAGUAAAUGAUCUUAGCUAACCAGUUACUAAUGGUCGAGAAUUAGACUACUGAGUUGGUAUAGUUUGAGGACUACUUCCUUGAUUAUUUCUACCAUUCUACAUAUUUGUUCCAUAAACCAGAUUAUAAUUAGUAUUUUGAAAAUUUCCAAAGCCAUAAUUAGCUCAAUUUGGAUGAUUACUAUUCCAACCACUCAUAUUUCUAAUUUAUACUUGAUUAACAUCCCAUUGAAUUGGUUAUAUUAAUGUUUGAUUAUUGAACUGUUGUUACCUUUCUAAAUGCCAGUAGUUUUAGGUAGGGUACUUUUCUCUGUAAAAUAUAUAUUGAAUACCCAUUUGUUUGGGUGGUGGACAUUCCAUAUCAAAAUGACCUUAUCCCUUACAAUUAUUACACCAUACAUUAGGUCUCAUAAUAGAAGGCUUAUGUCGCUUCUCUUUAUUUUUAGCCAAAUUCACAGCCAAUAUUUCCAUCUACUUUAUUAGAUUUAAUAACAAGGCUUCAUUUGGAUCUUUAACGGUCACAUUUCUGAACAACUCCGAUUGUUGAUAGGUUGAGGAUGUAAAAUAAGAUGUCAUUGUUAUUGGCGCUAUUGCUUGGAGUAGUGUAGUAUUAAUUGAUUUUUGCAACAUAACAUUCUUCAUGUUGGAGUCAGCCAUUAGUGGAUAAUUAUCUAUCAACUUAUUUUUCGGUUGUAUUUGUUGGCUUCCUAAUCUUUGAAUCAUCGUGGCCCUCAUUGUUAACAAUUGGUCAUAAUGACAUUCUUGCCACACCUUUGCUUGUAUCAACGAUGCCUCUACUGUAGUUGGUCAAGCCUCUUUUAUAAAUAUUUUCAAUUUUGGUGGAUGUAAAUCAUUGAUUAAUAUCAACAAUAUAAACACAUCUGGCAUUUGAUUAUUUGUCCAUUUAUAAAGUAUAUCCACGACCUGGCCAUAAUAGGACUCUACUGAUUCUCCCGCAAACAUUCUGCUAUUCAUAAAACUUUCUCUAAACCGAUCUUCAAAUCCAAUUGGUCUAAAAUGGAUUAGGAAGGCAUUCCUCAAGGCCUCCCAAUUGGAAAAUCUAUCCACUGGUUGCUGAUUAUAUCAUUCAAAAGCUAUAUCUUUUAAAAUUACUGGCAACCAUCUCAACCAAAUGUCUUUCGUUCUAUCAUUAUUAGUGACGUAAGGUGUCAAGAAUUGAGAUAUAUGGUGAUCGGGAUCAAAGCUCGACCAACCACUAAAAGUAUGUAAUGUUGCCUGACUUGUAGUGCGAUCUCCUACUACUCCCAUUUAUACUACAAUUGGUACUUCUGGCACUCCCGUGGCCAUCAAUGUUAUCACUGGUCUCUUUACUAUUUAAAUUUGAAUUUUUCUUCUUUUGGUUUUACUUGGACCUACAAUUCCUUUUUGUGGUUCUCGUAGGAGAUUUCUUAUACAUAAUCGCUUUUGUCUUUCUUUCACUUGUCGAUUAAUUUUUUGAUAAUCCUCUCUUUCAUGAUUAUCAUUCAUAAUCUUUCAUUCUUCCCAGCAAAAUCAAUACUGCUUUGAAUUAUAACUCACAUAUUUGUAACCCUAAAACUGGUUCUUCUCACGUUCUCAUUCAACAUAUAAUUCCAUCUCCCAUACCAUCAAUUUCUAACAUUUUAUAUUGUUAUCUUUUCCUCGGCAAAAGUGCCAAAAUAUUGUUCUCGUUGUGCUCAAGCUUCAAUAUACCAAAGCAAUUGAACUAAUAGAGGUGGGUUCGAAUAUAGGGAAACACUGGUUAUAUGAAUUUGGUCUGUUAGUAUCACAAUUGAUUAUACUCUAGCUAUCUAAAAUCAAUUAUCAAACUAUAAAAUACCAAGGCUUACUAUUUCCAUCUUAAUUCAAUACAUAAUCCAUUCUACGAUUAUCAAUUCAAUAAUACUUCCAUAUUCUUAUCAGUUCAUCUUCCACUUACUUUCUUUGUAAUUUAUAUAUAUUCAAUUAUUGAUCUCCAGCUUAUUUAAUAUAUUCAGUUUCUCAAUUCAUCACACAAAAUUCAAUAUCUUUACUUAAUACAAUACAAUUCGAUAAUCUAAAUUCUCAAGGUCACAAAUUUUCUCCAAAUCAGUCAGUCCAAAGUCAUAUUCCAUAAUAUUCUAAUCACAAUUUCAACAAUACUUCUCUCAAUCACAAUUCUUCAUAAAAAAAUAAUAAAAGCAAAGAAAACAAAGAGGUAGCACCAAGCUUACCCAAGGUUACGACUCUCACAGUCUAGCCCCAAUCUCUCUUUUCUCAACCACUUUAUCCUACCAAAAGAUGGACCAUUGGCCAAUAGAUUCCAAAAGUUAUGACCCUUUGAAUUCUUAACCAUUUGUUCCAGAAACAACCUACUGUUAUCAACUAAACUAUCUAAGCAUCAGUCUAAUUCUCAAGGUUAUCAAUAACCAACUAGUAACUUACUACAAAAUUUAUUUACAUAUUUUACAGUUAUCAAUAACCAACUAGUAACUUACCACAAAAUUUAUUUAUCUAUUCUACAAGGAUCUUUCCACAGAAAGGACGUUUCUCUAAAAUGGCAUAGAGAAUAGAACAGCUUGAAAUAGAACCAAAACCUCCGUAAUCGGGACCUCAUUGGGUUGCCCAACCGAGUCAGGUCUCAUACUGGGUAAGAGGCCUGUAAGAGGACUUGGAUUGGAUGUCCCCGUAAUUGGGUCAAAUUGGCCUUCGUAUCAGGCUCAUCCAAAUAUUGAAUUGGUCCUUUCUCCUUUUGCCAACUUUUGGUAAGAACAGCUUGGAUACAUUCCACCCGAUUUACCAAAAAAUCUUGAGGACCUCCAUUUAUCUCCUCAAUUUUUUUCUUGGCUUUGGAUCUGCUGAUCCCGAUUAUUGAAAUUGAACGGAGCAUUACAUUGUUGAUAAGUAUAUUCCAAUUGCUUGCAAUUCCCACACAUUUGCACGUAAUUGUCAUUGACUCUGGGAUUGGGACAUUCAUUAGCAUAAUGAUCAAUCUGUCUACAACGGAAACAACAAAGUGGUCUUCUUGUACCCCCGUCAGGCAUAUUGGGUGUCUCCACCAGUAUAUACCUAUUAAGCUUAUUCCAUGUAGGGUUAGAAAAUGAUCCUGGUUGUCCCAUUAGUACAAAGGGUACUUGAUUCCAUGAUGCUGGUGGAGCAUAUUGUUGAUGUCACGUACGGUGGUAUAGCUUGCAAUGGAGUAACAUUAACUGACCCUCAAAUAUUGGCACUGGAAUUGGCUACUAUUUCCAACAUCCAAUAUGACUAAAUAUUAAUAAAAUCUUUUUCAUUUAUACUUUCACCAUAUAGUCAUGUUACAACAUGACAAUGCCAUUAAAUUUCUUGGACAAGGCAAUUCUUAUUUUUUUAAUUCUUGAACAAUGUUCUAUCAUGAAAAAAAUAUUAUGAUUUGAUAUAGAUUUUGAAGCAAUUUCAACUAACUUUAUGUCUUUAUUUUAUGUCAAUUUUAUUACUUCUUCUAGUAAUAAAUUGAGCUGAUGCAUUAUAAGCAUUAAUUUCUUUAAUUACUCUUCCAUUUAUGCUAUUGCAUUCUUUAUUUUAAAAAGCUUUGCUAUAAUAAUACAAUAGAUAAUAGUUCUAAGUUAGAUAGUAUAUAUAAAAGCAUGAGUAAGACCUUCUUUAUUCUUAUCGUUUUUUUUUUUUUUCUUUUAGUCUAGUUUUAAAGGUCACUAUUUUUUAUUUUUUUUUGUUUUUUAUCUUUUACCAAUAGUCAUUCUAUUUUUUUUUUUAUAUAUAUAUAUAUAUAAUAUGUAUCAUAUAAGUUGAAUAUCUAUUGGAGGUUCUAUAUAGGUAAUUAUUAGAAUAAAUAUGUAUAUUUUUAAUAUUUUAAUAUGGAUGAAAUGAAUUUUAAAUAAUAUUAUUUAUAUGCAAGAUUUAACAAUGUAUAAAUAUUUUAAUAAUAUAAUAUUUAUAUUAUUAAUUAAAAAUAUUUAUAUAUCAAAUAUAUUUAGAAAUUUUGAUAUAUCAAUUUAAAGAGCAUUUCUUUUUUCUAAGGAUCUACAUAUAUAAAUAAACAAAUAAAAAUUUGUAAUUCUUAUAUUUUUUAAAAUUUCAUGACAUAUGUGGCUUUUAAUUUUGUUAAUUGUAUUCUUACUUCAAUAGGUGUACUCUCUAAAACGUAAAUUCUAUAACACAAAAAUAAAUAUUGUGAUACAUUAAUGAUACAAAGUUAUAUUAUAUUAUUUUAUUUCAAUAUAAUAAAUACAUUUAUACAAAAUUAGAUGUGAAAUGUAUACAGAGAGCUUAAGCACAUGUCAAGGACAAGAACUUAAAGAAUGUAAAUAAAUAAAUAAGGUAUUUUAAAUAUAUAUAUAUAUAUAUAUAUAUAUAUAUAAAAGAAUUAAAAAAAUAAAUAUAUUUAAAAAAAAUCAAAUGGCUAUUGCCAAAAGGCAAAAAUACUAUAGACUUUUGAAACUAGAUUAAAAAUAAAAUAAAAAAUUGGCAAGAAUAAGGCAUCACUUUAAAUAUAUAUAUAUAUAUAUAUAUAUAUAUAUAUAUAUACAUAAGAGUUAUAUAAUAAUGUAUCCAAGACUUCAAACACAUGUCUAACUUACAAAACAAGCUUUAUAUAUGUAUGUCACAUGUCCAACUUGUACUAUAAGUAGCCAAUAUGUACAACACAUGGCCAAUUUAUGGACAAGUUUUCAAUCUAUUAAUUAUAUAUAGACACGUAUAAAGGUAAAGUUGCAUCUAUGAAGCUUUUAAGAAGCUUUUCUAUAAGAUAUUAUUAAAUUUAUUUAUUUUUAUUUAUUCAUAUUAUAUAAAUAAUUAUUAGAGUAAAUAUGGAUGUUCGUGACAACACACAAUUCAACAUUGUCUAUAGAAGCAAUAUCACUAUAAAAUGAAGAGGAUGGCUGAUAAAAAAAAUAUAUGUCAAAAAAUAAAUUCAUAUAGCUGCAUUAAAGAUUGUGCAACUAAAAUCCUAUUCAACACCUAGUAAAGGUCUUAUUUUUUCUUUAUAAUUAUUACCUUGUUUUAUUAUAUGUUUUUUUUCAAGACCUAAAAAUUACAAAGCCUCUAAUUUUUUAGAUUUAUGAAUCUUUACUAGUAUUUUAGAUGAAGAAUUAAUUAAAAGACAUAAAAUACUCUUUAUAAAAAAAACUAAGUUAGUCCAUAUAGAAGUCAUAGAUGGUUUUUUUAUCUUUUAAAGAUGUUAAGUAUAAAAUUAUUCUUAUAGAUUGAAUAAUAAAUGAUUAUAAUAAUUUAAUAAUAAUUAAUAUCAUUAGAUUUCUUUUUAAUUUAAUUAUUUUAGGUUUAAUGUGGUAAAAAAAUUAUAAUUCUUAGAUAGAUAGGAUUUAUCAUAAUUUUAAUUUUUUUAUAGUAAAAUCAAGUCUUUUUUUUUACUAAAUAAAAAAUCAUAAAUCUAAUAAAAUCAAAUGCUUGUUUUUUUGUGCAAUAAUUUUUAUACAUGCUACAAAAGAAGGAUUUUUUUUUUUAUUUAUGCCACACUCAUUUUAAAUGUGAAAAAACUUCAAAAGAAAUUCUAAUUGAGUAUAAGAAUUAUUAAGAUGUCUUUCAAAAAAAUACAAAUAUUAUUUUAAAGCAUUUUUCUAAUGAUUACUCAAUUUAUCUUUAAGAAAAAAUUCAAUUGCUACAUAUAAUGUAUAAAAAAAUAAGUUAACUUUACUCAAAAAAUACAUUGAUGAGAGCUUAGUAAAAAACUUCAUAAGCUAUUUUAAAAUUUUAGGAAGAACUUCUACCUUAUUUAAGAAGAAAGAAGAUAAAUAGAUGAUUAUGUUUUGAAUUAGAUAAGGAUAUUUUGAAUAUAAUGUCAUGCCUUUAGGACUCAUAAAUUUUCUAAUUUUUUUAAUAUCUAAUAAAUAAUUUUUUUUAUAAAAAUUUUAGAUAAUUUUAUUGUUUAUUAUUUAGAUUAUUUUUAAAAUAUAAUCUAAGAACAUAAAAGAGUAUAAAAUAUAUUUUUGUUGUAUGUUGCAAAAACUUAGAAAUAUAAGACUAUAGGCAAAGAUAGAGAAGUAUAUAUUUUAUACAAAUUAAGUUGAUUUUUUAAGAUAUGUAAUCUAAAUUUUUUUUUUAUAAUAGAUUUUAAGAAAGUUCAAACUAUCAUGGAUUAUAAGCUUUUAAGAAUAACAAAAAAUUCUAAUAUUUUUUGAAAUUUUCUAAUUAUCAUCAAAUCUUUAUAAAAAACUCUUUCCAAAUUACAAUUCCAUUUACAUAUUUGACUUGUAAAGAAAAACUUGAAUAAAACAAAGAAGCUAAAACAAUAUUUGAAGAUUUAAAGAGAAUUUUUAUAUUUGUACCAAUCUUGUAUUAAGUUGACUUUUUUAACAUAUUUUUUUAUGAAUAUAGAUACAUCAAAUUUUAUCUUUAAUAUGACAUUGCUACAAAUAGGAGCAAAUGAUAAACUUUACUUUAUAGUUUUUCAUUCAAAAAACUUUUCAAUAACUAAGAUGAAUUAUAAGAUUUGCAACAAAGAACUUCUUGUAACUCUAGAUGUAUUUUAAGAAUUUUUUCAUUAUUUAGAAGAUACUUCUAAUCUAAUGACUACUUAUAGAAAUCAUAAGAAUCUUAAGUAUUUUAUAUUAAGACAUAUUUUGAAUUAUUUUCAAAUUUCUUACACCAUGUUUUUAUUAAGAUUUGUAUUUAAUAUCACUUAUUAGCCAAGAAAAUAAAAUUUUUUUAGAUACCCUUUUUGGCCUUUUCAUCUUUUGCAAAAAAAUAAAAUAAAAUAAAAUAAGUUCAACUUUUGAUUUACAACAAACUAUUCUUUUGAAGCCAAAAUAAUUUCAUUUUUAAGCAAUCAAAUUAAUGUUAAUUAUUGAUUUAAUCUUUUUUAAUUAAGUCUAAUCAAAUAUUUUAUUAAUUCUUCUUAUUCAUGAAAAAAUAUUUUUAUUACUAUUAUCAAUUAGCAAAUAAUAUUAUAUAAGAUAAAAAGUUUCAAUUUUUAUCUAGAUUUUUGAUAAUUCUUUUCAAGAUAUUGAAAAUAGAGAUAAAAUUAUCUUUGACUUUCUAUCCUUAAAUUGAUGGAGAAAAUGCAUGAAUCAAGUUUUGAAAUAAUAUUUAAAAUAUACCAUUAAUUACCAUCAAGAUAAUUGAAAAAUUCUUUCACCAUUGGCAAAUUUUGUUUAUAAUAACAUAAUAUAUUUUUUAACUCAAAAAAUAUCUUUAUAUAUUGAUUAUAAUUAUUAUUUUUAAUUUUAUAUUUUUGGCUUUUUAAAAUCUAAUAAUCCUACAACAAAAUAUUUAAAAAAUUAUUUCUUGGAACUAAAUGCAAUAAUAAAAGCAUAAUUGAAAAAAAUUCAAGAAUAAUAAUACAUUAAUUUUUAUUUCUAUCAUAAGUAAUAACUUCAAUUCAACAUUGGAAAUAAGAUAUGAUUAUUUUAUUAUAAUAUUAAGACUAUUUACUUUUGUAAUAAGUUGGAUUAUUGUAGGCUUUGACCAUUUCUUAUUUAUCAACAAAUCAAUCUAACUCUAUAUUGGUUAUAUCUAUUAAAGUCUAUGAAGAUCCAUCUUUUGUUCUAUAUAAUUAUUUUUUAGCAAUACAAGAUAGUGGAUAUACCAAAAAUUAGACAAAUACCACUUUCUUUCAUAGAAGUGAAUAAUAAUCAAGAAUUUAUAAUAGAAUAGGUUUAAUAUUCAAGAUAGUACCAAAAUAGAUUAAAAUAUUUUAUAAAUUGGUGUAGAUAUGAUAUUAAUGAAUACAUAUGAAAGUCAUUUAAGAAUCUUGUAAAUACAAAAAAGAAGAUUGAUGCUUUUUAUUGAUGAUAUCUAUUAAAAUAAAAAUAAAGAGUCAAAUCUUUUUUUGUUAUAAAGCAAAGAAGGUUCAAAAAAGAUUGUAUUUUAUCUUUUAUUUUUAUUUGUGUUUUCUUUAUAUUUAUGAUAUUAAUAAAUAAGAUGAUAAAAAAACAAAAAAAUUCAACUCAAGAGCUAUCUUUUGAUGAGUUAUAAGAUGAGCUAUUGAAAUUUUCAUAGCCUUUAAGAUGAUAUAAUAGAAAUCAAGACCUUUACAAAUAACAUUCUUUUUUAAAUAGAUGGUAAAAUACAACGCAUUUGGUAUCAUGACUUUAAAAGAGACUUUUAAUGUUUGAUGAUACUUUAGAGAUAGGAACCACUUUUGAUAGUAUUUUAAUUUUUUAAAAUUUUAACUAAGUUAUAAAAGUUUCAACCAUGAUCAAAUAAUAGGGUGAUUUUUUUGUCUUCGUAUUUUAUACUAUUGAUGGCUGAAAAGAUCCAUUAACUAUCUUUAAAUAAAAAAAAUUAAAGUAUGUGACAAAUAUAAUUUGCAACAUCUUAGACUUCUUCAAUAUGUGAUCACUACUGCUUAUAGAACUUGUUCUUAGAAAGGAGAGGGAGGGAGGAAAGUAGAAAGAAAAGAUAUAUUAUGAUAGAUAUAGUAAUUAUUAAAAUAAAAAGAAUUAUAUAGAAGUUAAUUGAAUUAGAUUAAUUUGAUAAUAUCUUAUAGACAAGUUUCUUAAAAGCUUCAUAGAUGUAGAUUUCACUUUUCAAGUUUUUAUAAAUGAUUAGAACGUUAAAAACUUAGCUAACUAGUUGAUCAAGUGUGUCUAGUCUUCUUAUCUUUAGUAAUAGCUAUUCUUAUUUUUUCUUGAAUAUACAUAUUUUUUAUUUUAUUUUUUUCAUCUCUCUUUGAUCUAUAUCUCACUUAUUUAUUUAUAUUCUUUAAGUUCUUUUCUUUAAUAAUACAAUAUUAUAAAAAUAUAUUUUUUUAAUUAGAAUUUAUAUGAAAAUAAUUAUAAAAGAUAGAGAAACUUGAUAAACUACAUUUAUAUAAAGUAUAUAUAAUAUAAGAAAUAAAUAUAACAUCAAAAUUUGUGAUUGAUUUUUUAAAGUUUUAAAGGUCUCUAAGAUACUUUAUAUUAAUUAAUUUUCUAUUUUUUUUUUUUUGUAAUAAUGUAAAUCUUUAAUUUUUUUUUUAAAAUACCGAUUAUUAAGUAAGAUGUAUUUUUAAGUUAUGACAAUGAUAUAUACUACCUAAUUUGAUAUGAUGUUAAGUCAACCUUGCUUCUAUAAUUUACCAAUAAGUUCUUAUUUUUUUAAUAAUAUUUAUUUUUAUUAUUUUUAAAAAAAUUACUUUUUAAAUACUUUUAAUUUAUUUGAAUAGGUUUUUUAUUUAUUAUAAGAAAAUUUAAAUAAUAAGAGUUUCAUAGAAUUUUAUAAAUAUUUGAUUUUUAAGUUUUUUUUGCAGAAAAUUAAAUAAAUUAUAUAAAGAAUAAAAAAUGGCUGAUUUAUUUUAUAGAAAGUAUGAAAAAAAAUUUGAAAACUUUAGUGACUUUAUUCUUUAAUAGUUUAUUAUAUUUGAUCUCUUCUAUCAAAAACUUUGUAAUAAUGUGUAAUAAGAGAUACAAAAAUCAAAAUGUAAAAUGAGUGAUAAAUCAUUAUUUAAAUCACUAAAAAAAUCUAAAAACUAGCUUAUAUAAACCUAAAAUUAAAUUAUUAUUUGAAAUAUGCAAUUUAUUUAAGAUUUUUUUUAACUUAAUAUAGUUGCAUUGAUUAUAAUAUAUAUUAUUGAUUUUGCUUCUAAAAUUCUAUAUGAUUAUUUUUAAAAUAUAAAUAUUUAUGUAUUUACCUUAUGUAUUAAAAUUAUAAAAUAUAAAAUAUAUAAAUAUGAAAAAUUAAUCCUAAAAUAAAAUUAAAAUUUAUCAUAAAAGAAUUGAAUAAUAUUAUUAAUUUCUCUCUAGUUAUAAAUAUAGAAUUUUAAAUUUAUAUAUAUAUAUAAUAAAAUAAAAUAUUGAAUAAAAAAAGAAAAAAAAUCUAUAAUCUUAAGUAAAAAAAAUUUAAUUUAUUGGUUAAAUACUCAAAUAUUAUAUAUAUAUAUAUAUAUAUAGUUUGAUAAUAGUAUUUUUAAAAUAGAAGUUGAAAGGCAUUGAUCAUGCUUGAAGUAUAUAAAAUCAAAAAAUCAUUGCUACCAAUAUAGAAUCAAUUAUCUAAAGUACAUUAUAGAAAUAGAUAGAAUCAAGGAAAGAUUAAAAAUUAAUUCUAAUUAUGUUUAUAGAUUCAAAUAAAUAAGAUAAUUAUAAAAAAUUAGUAAUUAAUUUUUUUAAAAAAUAUUGAAUAGAUCAACUUGAGGUUGCAUUAUUGAAAGUUUAUAAUCUAUAUACUUAAAUUCAAAUUCAUUCAUAAUUAUUCUAGGAAAAAUAAUUUUUUUUUGAAUUAGAAGAAUAUUAAUAAUUUAAUAGAGAAAUUAAAAAAAGAAUUAUUUAAAAUAAAUUUAAAAAUAUUCUUAUUUAAAAGGUAAUUAAAAAGAUAUAACUUAAUUAAUAUUCUAAAUAGAAAAAAUUGAAGAAUAAAAAAUCUUAUAAUAAAAAUCUAAUAAAAUAGUUAAUACAUAGGUUCAAGUGAAUAAGAAUCCAAAAGAACAACAAAACUAAAGAAGAAUACUGAUUGCAUUAAUUUUUUAACAAUAAAAAAAUAAAAGAGAAAAAAAAGAUAUUAGAAGUCUUAAUUCUAAAAUUAAAAAUCCAAAUUGAAAUAAUAAAAUAAAUUAUUAAAAGUAAAUUAAUUUUUAUAAUUUUUUAGAUUUAAUUUUUAAAAUUAUAUAUAAUAUAUUUAAAAAAUAAAUUCAAACUAAAGAUUUUAGAUAGUAUUUGUAUAUUUUUUGUAUUAAUUGUGCUAUUUUUAUAUUUCAAGCAUUUAGAUGAGAAAUUGUAGAAUUAAACUAUCAAGAUAAAGAUACUUGAUUAAAAAAAAAUAUGUUUAAUUUUUUGGUUUUAUGCUUGAAAAAAACUUGAAAAUGUAUUAUUGAUGUUAAAAAUUCUAAACAAUUUAAUGCAAAUAUUAAUAUAAGAGAAGUUGAAGAAUGCUUGUGAAUUUAACCAUGUAAAGUAGAGCAUGUAAAUUAGAGCAUAUUUCAAGAUUAUAUUUAGUUAUUUUUCUAUAAAAAAAUGUUAUUAGUUGGAGUUAUUUAUUUUACUACAAAUCAACAGAAGAAAUGAAUAAUAUAUUGAUUGUGAUUAAGAAUCAAGAGUAGAUGAAAACAAUGGUAUUUAAUAUUAAAAAAUUGAUUAUUUAGAAUCAACAAUAGAAUAAAAUUGCAUUCUACUUCAUCUUUUCUUCUUGAAACUUACUAAACUGAGCCAACCAAAUAAGGCUUCUCAAUUUCAACUAUUGAAAUGAUUUAGAAAUUGUUCCUUAUCAACGACUUGUAGGGAACACUCGGUAUCAAUAUUAUAAGCAGCAAAGAAUUGAGGAUACGUUUGUCCAGACAGAACUGGCUGCCCACUAAAGCAAUGAGUUGAAAUGCUAAUUUCAGGAGUUUUCAUGAGAAGAAGGUCGAAGCUCUUGAAUUCUCAGUAUGUGUUAAUUACUUGAUGUUGUUCAGUAGUGUGCUUCACAACGUGCUCUGGAAAUGCAUCAGAUUCGAGUCAGGGUUUGUCUCAUCGUGGUCGAUGAUGUUGCAGCUGGGACUUGAGUAGGGGUGUAAGCGUCAACGAUUUAUGAAGGAAGUCAUUUAAAUGGGGUAUCUGAGAGUGGAUUUUGUUUUUUGCCAUCUGCAUCAUUGAAAUUCAUGUAACACUAAUCAUCCUUUGUAUUUUCAAGGUUGCAAACCUUUGCUAUUUCUGAUUCUGGUCUUUAGACUGGACCUUACUAAUCAAUUCUGACUCAGUCAAAUGUACGUCUCAUUUCUCGAGAUGAAAUAAAGCUUCUUUCUUCAGCAAUUUGGUGCUGUAUAGGAGAGCGGGGAAGGUUUUUAUCAUCUCAUUUUCCUAACACCUCUUUACUGUUACCCUAGUUAUACUAUUUGUUUUCAUCUAGAACCUAAUGUGGACUCACAGUUGGGUCGUGUGUAUAUCCCAGCUGGUUAGAGUAAAUCAGCUGGAUGCAGUCUGAUCUGCGGACUAGCCAAGGUGCUACAGAACAACUGCACGAACGUGAAGACGUGCUCAGGACAGAAACGAGAUCAUAAAGGUGUAAAAACUUGUGUUUAUUUACGCCUGUUUGAAAUGACUUGUACAAAAUUGUGAUGAGCAAACAUUGGACUCGCGUCCAAAGAAGCACUAAAUGAGAUAGCGCACAAGCAGCUUACCUCUUCUUUCUGUGUGCAGGGUGAGAGGAGAGCGCAGCAGAGUAGAAGAACUAAUUUGAAGAAAAUCAAAAAAACUCUAGGGGGAACAGAAUCCUCAGCAACGAAUUAAGAAUCACUCUAAAAUCCACGUUUCGAAUCACUCAAAGCCUACCUCAUACCUUGGGAUAUUAUCUUGAUGGUGCUCAUUUCUCUCAAAGGGAUAUCCAGUAUGCAACUUAACGUUAUCCUUUGUUUUGUAGGAUGAGAACAACUUGAUGAGAACUCGAAAUGAUGAAGAAGAUUGACAAGUUUAGAAGGGCUAAACUCCUUCAUGCAAAUGAUGAACGAACAAAGUGUGGCAUUGCAGAAGGCCAGAUACCUCCACCAAACUUUGAAGGGCAGCGACUCUGUACCAAAGUUCAGGUGUAUUCAAGCUUCUAAACAAUGCUGAUUGUGAAAUAUCAAACAUAAUUCGACUAAUUCAUCGACAACAAAUCGUCGCUUGUAAUAGUUUUGUGUCGGUAGAUUGAUUCUGCAUGUAUCAGAUGGACAUAAGCUAGAAGAUCAUGCUUCUGAGUUCACAACCAUUGUAGAGCACACUCAGGAACUUGAGAAGCAGAAGAUUGAAUUGUCUCAGAAGCUGACGAACAUCUGUGCUCAUAUCAUUUGAUUGAAAAAUAAAAAAUAAAAAUAAAAAUCUCUAAAAAGGAACAUUCUUUGCUGUUUUUUUUCAAAACAUUACAUAUCCAAGUAUCAUUGUUCAUGCCUUAAGGACGAACAUUGGAACCAAAAACUAAAUUUUUUUUUUACUAGUGUUUUUUUGUAGGUAAUCUUGCACCUUCUUAGUAUCUAGUGAUGUGGUUGAUCCAUGCAUGAGUUAUUAAAAUAUUUACUAUUUCUUUUUGUUGAAAAUGAAAAAAUUCUUGUUUAGUUAUUGCAACUUUAGAGUUAAACCUUCGUAAAUAUUAAUGAACAAAAGGCAACAAAAAUUUAAAGAAGUUAUUAUAAUUGCAAUCAAGAUUUUGGAUUUGGUUAGAUGAAACAAAGUAGGAUGAAGAUGAUUGUAUAUGAUGUUUAUGUAUAUCAUAUGUAAAUUUAUUAUUUAUAAGUAAAGAGUGUUGGAAGUAAUAAUCAUUUUAUUCCACACCCUUGUUUGUGUGCAACCUUAGUGAUGCUAAAUGUUGAGACUUUAUUUCUUCAAUAGGUUAUAGGCUUAUACAUAUUUGCUUGUGAUUUUGGAGUUAUUUGAAGUUUUUAUUGUUGUAAAGAAUAGAUCAUUUUAUUAUUAUUAAUGUUAGAAUUUUAAUAAGGUGAAGAUACUUACAAAUUAACUUCUAAUUGCAAAUCAAUCUUUAGAAGAUGUGGAUAUUGAUAUGAUAUUAAUUAUGAGCUUAUUAGAAUCCUGUAAAUACUUAAUUAUGGCCUUAGAGUUCAAUAAUAUCAAGGAUCUUACAAUAAACAAUGUAACAACAAGACUAAGCAAUAAAAUGACUAAGGGAAAAAAAAAAAAAAAAAAAAAAAAAAAAAAAAUCCUCAAAUAAAGAUUUAACAUCCUAUUCAUAUUAAGAUAAGAAGAAAUAUUCUAGCUAAAUAUUUAUAAUUAAAAUUUUAUUUUAUUAUAAAAAAACCACAUCAUUUUUUUUAAAUUGAUAUAAAAAUAAGAAAGUAAACAAGAAGAAUACAAAUAGUAUCCAAGAUGAAUUUGGAGAAUAAGAUUAUACAUUCAUAGCUAAUAAAAAGAUCUUCAUAGCUACUAUAUCAAGGUGGAUUAUAGAUUUAAAUUAUUCUAAGCAUAUGAUAUCUUAUAAGUAUUUAUUUGAUACUUAUGAGGCCAUUUUAAUAUUUCAUAUAAUCUCAGUGAGUACGAAUAUAUGUAAAGCCAUAAAAAUUAGUUAUAUUGUGGUACAAAUUACUAUGAAUAAAAAUAUUAAUAUGAACAUAUUUAAAGACGUCUUCUAUGUGCUUAAGAUGAAAUAAAAGCUACACUUAAUUUAUAAACUUAUAAUAUGAAGCCUUAUGAUUAAUUUAGCAUGAAUGGAUAUUUUUUGAAAAAAUUGAGUAGAAACAUAGUUGUUAAUGGCUCUAAAUAAGAAAAUUUGUACUACUUCAAUUGUAAAGUCAAUAGAAAAGAGGUGACUAUUUGUUAAGUUUACAUUAGAUUACAAGUUUGAUAUAAGAUAUUGUUAUCUUAAAUAUUUGAAUGUAAAAUAUAUGAAAAAAUCCAAUCUACGGUAAGUAGCUUAGAUCUUUGUAUAACAUGCUAAAAUACAAUAGAGCUUAAAUAUGAAAGAUGCAUACAAGAAAAAAAAAAAAAAAAAAAAAAAAAUCUUAUUUUUAAAUGAUAUAGCAAUAUGUGCUAUGAAGUUUUUAGAUAUUAUCUACUUUAACAUAUAGAUAGAUAGAUAAAUAAAGUCUAAAAAUAUAGAAAAAAAUAUAUUUUUUAUUAUUUUUACUUAUAAUUUUUCAAGAAGGAUUUAAAUUUAUAUUUUUAUUACUAAAAUUAAUUAUUUUUAAAUGUUGAAGAAUUUAAAAGUAUUUCUUGAGAAAAAAAUGAGUCUAAGAUCAAGAUAUUAUAUAUAAAAAAUGGAAAUGAUUACAUAUCUAAGAAAUUUGAUAUUUAUUUUAAGAAUAAAUAAAUUACUAAAUAAAUAUUAAUUUUACAUAUUUUACAACAAAAUGAUAUUGUUGAAAGGACAAACUGUAUCAUUAUGAAGAAAGUAAGGAACAUACUUCAUGUUCAAAUCCUUAAAUAUGAGUUUUAGAAUAAAGCCAUUUUCAAUAUUGUUUAUACAAAGAAUAUUUGUCUAAUAAGUAUUCUUGCAUCAAUGACACUAUAACAAGCUUGGAAUGAGAGACAACUUAAAAUUUUACAUAUAAAGAGUUUUGAAUGCAUUGUAUAUUUAAAAGCACUAGAUUGUAUGAAAUUCAAACUUAAUACUAAAGAUACAAAGUGUGACUUUUUGGAUUAUUAUUAAUAUAUUAAGACAUAUAGAUUGAUAUUUUUGAAUAGCAAAAAGAUCAUUUAAAGUUGUGAUAUUGAAGUUUUGGAGCAUAAGAGUCUUUAAAAGCACCUAGAAAUAUGUCUAAAUGGAAGUAAUAAUGUGAUUGUAGAUAUAUAUAUUUCAAAAAAGUGAAAGAAGAAGAAUAAAAAGAAGAAGAUGAAGAUGAAGCAAUAAAAACAUAUCAAAAACCUAAUAUUUUUUGAGACAAGAAUUUAUUAAUCUAAAAGAUAAGCAAAGAAAAAUCACAAGAAAAAAAAUAUGGUGUAUAAAGAUUAAUCUUCAAUUGACAUGAGAUAUCUUAUAAAAAAAAGAUAGAUACUUGAUAAAUAGUGGAAGAAGGAUUUUUUUUUUUUAAGUCAAUAAAAAAUAUACAAAUAUUAUUUUUAUAGCUAAUCUUUUGUCUUUUUGUGAUGCUAUAAAGUUUUAAGAUAUAAUGAAGUGCAAAAAGGCUAUAAAAGAAGAAUAUCAAUUUUUUAUAAAUAACAGUAUAUAUGAAUAAGCUCUUCUUCUAACAAAUAAAUUUAGUAAUAGCAAUAAGUGGGUGUUUAAGAUCAAAAAAGAUGCAAUGGAAGUAGUAAUAAGGCACAAGAUAAGAUUAGUUUCUAAAAAAUAUUUACAAGUGGUUGGAAUUGAUUUCAAUGACACAUAUACAUAUUUUGCUAAAUUCACUACCAUUAUGAUUAUUUUUACAAUUGAAGUAGUAAUAGAUUUAAAAAUAUAUCAAAUAGAUAUAAAAAUAGUCUUUUUGAAUGUCAAAUUGGAAGAAGACAUCUACAUUUACUGGAUCUAAGGAUUUCUAUAAGAAGGCAAAGAAUACCUUGUAUACAAGUUAUAAAAAUUAUUAUAAGGAUUGAAACAAUUACCAAGAGGACAAUACCAACAUAUUAAUAUCUUUUUUAUUAAUGAAUUUUUUAUAAUGAGUGAUGUUCAUCAUUCCUUGUAUGUAAUAAAAUCUAAAAAUUUCUUGUUAGUUAAAAUCUUCUAUAAUAAUAAAUUGAUUAUUUUAGCCAACAUCAACAAGAUGGAUUGAAUGAAGGCCAUUUUAAAAAAUAAGUAUAAAAUGAGUAAUAUAAUAAAUAUAUUAUUAAUUUAUUUAGUUUUAUUUUUUGUUUUUUUAUUUUUUUAAUCAAAAAAUUUAUUUGAUUUUAUUAUAUUAACAAAGUUUUAUAAUUUAAUCAAAAAUAAAUUAAGAAUAAUUUAGAAGUAAAUUAAAUUCAAUCCAAAUUGUUAUAUUUUUAAUUUUCAUAAAUAUUAGAAAUUAUUUUAAAUUAAGAUAUGUAAGUAAUCAAUAUUUAUUAGAAAAUGUACUUUAAACAUUAUAGUGAAAUAGGUUUGUUCAAAAAAAAAUUUUGAAAACUCAUUUGGUGGCCAUUAGCCUUGAUUUCGGAUUUUGACUCUUAGAUCUUAAUUUGGUCUCUUUGGAUUCAAAAGUGGAGAUGUGGUCACUACCUUUAAGUCUUAGGGUAAGAAUAUAAGAGGUCUCAUGGGCUCAUUUGGUCAAAACUUCUUUUAUUUUGUUGAUAGGCAAAGCCAUGCUAUUAAUUACUAGGUUUUAUAAAUAAUUAUGGUUUUUUUAGAAUUUUUUAUAUAAAAUUUAAGUAAAGAUGAUAAUAUUUUUUGAAAUUCUUUGUACAUAAAAAUAUUAGAAUUUAGAAUUUAGACAAGAAAGAAUCUUCUAAUUUAAUAAAUAGUAGUAUACUACCUUCAUAUUUUGGUAGCUCAAGUUUAGAAGGAUCUCCUUUAUUGUUGACAAGCUAAAAAGAAAUAAGAGUUUCUUUCUUAGAGAUUGAAUGAAGUCUAUUUUUUAAAAAGCUAAGAAUUGAUUAUAUUGAACCAAGAUGUGGUUAAAGUGUUGAUUUAAGUGGCAAGGGAUCUGCUGCCUUGAAUUCAAUCUGCCUUGCUUUAAAUUCAAGUGGCCAAGAAAAGGCACAACUUUAAAAGACAAGAUCUAAUGGAUUAAGGCACCUUAAAAGCUAAGUUUUAGAAGAAUGUGCUAUUUAAAGUUAAAGUUUUAAUAAGCUUAGAUUUACUAAAGGAAAAUCAAGAAUUAAGCCAUGGUCUCUAAUUUAUAGAAGGACAUAUGAUGUCUUGAAAUUGUAUGCAUGCAAAUAAAUUUGAAUGUGAAAUUUAGAAGGUAAAGGUAUUUUUAAAUAUUUAAAAAAAAAAAAAAAAAAAAAAAAAAAAACUAUUUGGAUUUAAUUUAGAGCUCAUAAUUAAUUUUGGUACAAUAAUAUGUAAAGAUUGGUGUAGCAAUAGAUUUAAAAGUGUCAAGCCCCUUUGGUUUUUAUUUUGAUGAUAUUAUUGGUUCUUUAGCAUAAAACUAUAGAUGAAUCUCAAAUAGAAGGUUAAAAAGGAUAUUGAUAUUAAUUUGGAUCAAUAUUUAAAUUGAUAGAUGAAAUUUUUAUAAAUAUAAUAUUUUGAUAAAAUUAUCAAUUUUAAUCUGAUAUAUUAUGUGUAUGAAUAAUUGAAAUGACAUCCAUUGUAUAAAUUAGAUGAGUAGAUUAGAUGGAUAUACUAACCUUAAUUAAUUGAUAUAUUUAUAACUUAAAUUGAACUAUAAUGUUUUAUAAUUAUUUUAGUAUAUUUUAUUUAUAUUAAUUUAUGUGUAAGAAUUUUAACACAUUUAAUUAGGUACACUUAAUUUGUCUCAUAAGUACUAUUUAAAAUUAACUUAUAGUUGAUGAAAUUCGUAAAUAAAGAGUUUAUACAAGUUGAAGGUAAAAUGCAAAGUGUUCUAUACAAGGUGCCAAUAAAUUCAUUUAGGUGUGCAAUGGUAGCAUUAAGAGCAAAUCUUGCAUUUGUUGUGAGUGUUGUGAGUCAACACAUAUUUCAAGUUGGACCUUUGUAAAGGAUCUCAAAUUGUGCAUUAGUUGUAAGAAUUUGAUGUGCAAGAUUAUUGUAAAGCAAGUUGGAUUAGAAUUGAAAAUGAUGGAAGAUCUAAAACAAAGCAUGUAUUCUUAAUUAGAAUAAGAGCCUUUUUAUGAAACUUCAAGAAACAAUCAAUCAUUACAAGGUCAUCCAUAGGAAUUGAAUACAUGACAAUAAGCCAUUUUGCAAUAGAAAUAAUAUGGAUAAGAUAAUUUUUUAAAAACAUUAGAUUUGUACAUUUUGAGGCAACUCCAAUUAUGAGUAAUAAUCAAGGGUUUCUUGUAUUUGCAAAGAAUCCAUAGAACCAUUGAAUAACCAAACACAUUAAUAUUUAACAAAAUUCCAUAAGAAAUAAGAUUGAAGUUUGAAGAUGGGCAUGUAAACAGUAGCUUACAUUAUCCCUUAAAUUUAGUUCAAACAAAAGAACAUUUUAUAUUUAUUCUCAAUACAAAUCAGUCUGAUUUUGCCAUAAAAUCAAGAGGACCAAAUUUGAUGCAAUACUGCUUCUAUAGACAUGAUUUGUGCUCCACCGCUGCUUGAUUUGUUUGUGUGUUGGCUCUUGUUUCAGCUUCAGUUACUCGUGGUUCAUUCCGACAGUAGAUUAAAUUCCACCACUAGUAUUGCAAUACAAAUUCCCGUAGUUGAAGAAAAUUACACCAAACGAUGGUUAUUGACAUAUGCAUUAAGUGCCAAAUGUUACAUUCAUCUGAAAACAGUUUGAAAUGUCACUAAUAUUGAGAAUUUACUUUGGUCCAAUCCUUGCAGGUGGUACACAACACCUAGAAAGCCGCCAGUAUCAAAAAAAAAAAAAAAAAAAAAACAUGUUUUUAAUCAACCAUUGCAUUACCUUCCGAAUGACUUUAUCCCCAUGGUAGAUUCUCAACCAUUGACUCUGUUUAAAAUAUUUUUCGCAGAAGAGUCGCAUGCUUUUAGUUAAACAUAGGUACACUUGUUGAAAGAAUGCAACAAAUCGUAACUAGUUGUACAAAAAACCACUGUCCAUUCUCCAAUCAAUUACCCAAAAAACAAAACCACUUUUAUUAAAUACUCUUUUCAGGUGGAAACACUACUUCCAUGAUUCGACGAAGAUUUCAGAUGGAACGGAAGAUCGAAGUUCCACGCACAAUUGCAUAACGGUGACAAAUCGUCGUUGCUCCAGCUUCAACGACAGCCUCACAGCACAGGAUGGGUAUUAUACCGCUGGGAGCCACCCAAACACAAGGCUGACAGAGCUUCCACAUGUUGGCAAUAGACAUUAUCAUGUUCACCUGCAGGUGGACCAGGUUCGUAAUAUUCAUGCUGCCUGAAAUCAUGCUCCCAGAUGAUCAAAACCUCUUUCCCAGCAGGGAUGAGCCGCUGACAACUAGAUUUCUGCUUAUCAACAGAGAACCCAUUCUGUCGCCUCAUCAAGCUGCCCGCUGUGAGAUUGCUGCCGCAUCUAGGGACUAUUCGCUAUCCAACGCCAUCCGUCAAGGAAUGUGAUCACUGUCGCAUCGCCUUGUAGUGCAUGCUGUUGCAUCUCGGAUGAGAGCGGCGACCACGUUGUUCAAAGAUUCUGCGAAAACCAGUGGGAUUCUGUUCCUUCACCCUCAGCUUCCGGAGCCCCACAACUUUCAAAUAUCUUCCGCUUCUUUCUUCAGAUUUGUGGGUUACUUUGCGAAAUCGCUUGCGGUGUGGGGAGUGUGUGCAUCGUUGCUUAUGCUCAGCAAAAAGGUGCUUCACUGUAGAAAUAGUGUAUGAUUGAAUGUCGUCUUUUGGAAUAUUUUUACGAUAGUCUUAUGACAAAAGUGUGAGAAAUUAUUGAACGACUGUAGCGUUUCUGACAACAAAAUUUCAAUUUCUUCAUUUUAACAUUUAGUUGUAAAUCAGUUUAAGGUCUAAGUUAUUCAUUGGUUUACAAAAUCACCAAAGUAUCUCUCAAGAAACUUCUAAAUAUUAAAUUACAUUGUGAUUACUUUUUUAAAAAAAUUACAUAAUUCAGGUACCUAAUGAAACUCAUAAGUGAAAUGACUGUUUUAAUAAAUAAAAUUAUAUAAAGUCAUGUAUAAUAAGAAUAAAGAGAAUAUAAGAAAAACUUAUACAAUCACAUGAUGUAAUGAAUGAAAUUACCAUAAAGAUUAUGAUGUACAAGUUCGUAUUUUGAUUUAAUUCUGUAAAAUAUCAAUCUCCAAAAUGUACAUAAAACUUUAACAUCUUAUUUCAAAAAAUGUAUUUUUAUAGUCUUUAGAUAAUUUUUACUCUUUUCACAAGAUAACAACUUCUAAUGUUAUUGAUUUAAUGCCAAAUAAUAUAAAAAUAAUGCCAAAGCCACUUGAUGCAUUGAAUUUGUUCUGUAUUGGAUCAUUAUAAUAUAAAUAAAAUAUAAAUAAGUACAGAUAUGAAAUAAGUGAAAAGAUUAAUAUCAAAUUCUAAAUGCUAAUUUUAAAAGCAAUGUCAAUGUCUUAAUAGAAUAUUGUAAGAUUAAAAUAUAUUACUUGAGAUAAAUUUAAAGCUUAAUACUAUAAAUUAGUAACAAGAACCUUGUCUAAUGUCUUGAAGGAUGUUGUGGUAAAUUUUUAAACAGUCUACAAUAAUACUAUUUAGAAACUACAUAAUAAAAAAAUUAAACUACAUUAAAUUAAAAGAGUAAUGAGUUUUGAAAAUUGGUUUAAAAUUAUUAAUGAGGUAAUUUAUUAAAUCCAAUAUAACUUAAAAAAUCAUCCCACAAGUGAGAUUAUUUUAAUAAUUUAAAUAUAAACAUAUAAAAUAAAUAAUAUUGAUAAAAAAAUAACUGCAUAUAGAGAUGGUAUUAUAAGAAUAUAUACUUUAUUCUUGGUCAUAGAAAGGUUUUUGUCUUUGUUGUACUUAUUCAAAUUAAGGUAUUUAUAAAAAUAAAAAUAAAAAUAAAAUCCAACCAACUUAUGUGAUGUUGACAGAUAUAUUUUGCAAUGUUUUUAUCAUUCAGAUUAAUAUAUAUAUAUAUAUAUAUAUAUAUACAUACUAAUAAUCUUCUUUAUUAAUUUAUUUUGUGAUUAUAUUAAAUUUUAACAUUCUAUAUUGUGUAUUUAGAUACUUUAAAAACAAUCAAGAACAAAACAUUAUUCAGAUUAUCUUCUUAAUAUGAAUUUAAUAAAAUAUCUUAAAAUAUACUUAUCCAACCGAUAAACAUAUAUAUUAAGAUAUUAAAUAAUUUGGAAUUUGAAAAAAAAAUCAAAUCAUUAAAAUAUUUAUUGAAGGCCUUUAAAAAAUUGACGAUUUUGAAUUGUAAGUAUAUCUAUCAUAUAUAUAUAUAUAUAUAUAUAUAUAUAUAGCAAAGAAUUUCUUAGAAUUACCAUGCUUUUAUUCAUGCUACAAUUAUUAGCAAAAUUAAAUAAUUAUUUAUUUAUUAAACGUUAUUUAUAAUAAAAUUAUUAUUAAUUUUUUUCAUAUCUGUGGAAAUUUUAUUUUAACGACUGAAAAAUAUUAUUAAAUAUUAUUAUAUUUAUUGAAAAAAAUAAUAUUUAUACAAGAGAAAAAUGCACCAUGGAUAAAUAGAGCAUUUAGCUAGAAUUUCUAGGGCAUGAGAGAUAAGCUUAACUAGCAAUAAAAUAUUCUGAUUAUCUGCCAAAAUAAAUUGUAUAUGCACUCAACUUUUAAUAAAAUUUAAAAUAUAACAUAAUGCAUGCUUGACCAUAAGUUUGUUUUUCUACACCAAUAAAUAUAAUUUUUAUAUAUUUUCUAAUAACAACUAAUUCUACUCCUGAAAAACUUAAUUACUUUAUUAUAAAUAUUUUAUUAAAUUGUAAAAUAAAUCCACUGUAUUUAAUAGAAAAUCUAAACAGAAUCCUCUAUAAUUUUAAAUUUCAAUUAAUUUUAUUUAAUAUUUUAUGCAAUUCCAACAUAACUUUGUAAAUAUUUCCAUAAUUAUCUAAGAUUAAAAUUAUGAAAGUCAAUACAUUGAAGAAAUUUAUUUUGGAUGCUAAAUAUGAUUAUUAGAAAUUAUAAUGGUGGUUUAUGUAAUAGAUAAUCUCAAUAGAAAGCACUUCAAGCGAUUUGCAAAGAUACAAAGAUUUCUUUAAAUAUUGAACUUAUUAAAGAAAGUAUCUUAAUUUGCAUAAAAAAUCCAAGAAAUAAAAAAUAAGAUAAAGAAGAGUAGAAGGUCUAUAUUAACAAUGUCUAUAUGAACCAAUUACAAGUUCAUUUAAUGCAAAGUUGGAAGAGUUUAAAGACACAUUUAAAUAAGAAAAAACAAAAAUGCAUUGUAAAAGAAAAAAAAUGAUCUCUUUGUAUUACAGACUUCAUCAAUAAAUAAAAAUUGGUGCAAUAGUAAACUCUAUUAUAUUGCCAAUAAGACCAUCAAUUAUUAAGAUAUUCUAAAGCCAAUUACAUUCUUGUUUUUAAGGUCUUCAACUAUACCAUUUGGCCUUUUCAAGAACAUAUGAAAGUAUUUAUAUAAUCAUAGAAAUAAUAUAAUAUAAUCUACCAAUAAAUUAUGAUUCUUUUGAAGUUUCUAUUAUAUUUUUCCUUUUUAUCUAAUAUCAUUUUUUAUUCUACAAUAUAUAAAAGCAUAUUUUUAUUUGAAUGAAAGAAAUAUUUAUUAUAAUAGUUAGAUAAAUACUUGAAUAAAUAAUAUGUAUGUAUAUAUAUAUAUAUAUAUAUAUAUAUUUGAAAAUAAUAAUUUAACAAAUGUUAGUAAUAUUUGGCAGCAAACAUAACUUAUAAAAUUAUAUAAAGUUUGUUUUUUAUAAAAUAUCUCACAAAAAUUCAUGAAUUUUUUAGUGUUUUAUUAAGAUAUUUUACAUAAAAUGUAUAAUAUUUUUCUAAUUUUAAAUUUUAAAUUUUUUACAACUAAUUGAAUACCCUUAAUAUAAUAAAUAAUAAUAAAAUAAAACAAAAAGAUUUAUUUUAAUGAAUAUUUUUCAAAAAAACAAUCAUUAUAAUUAUAACCUAAAUUUUUAAAUAAUUGUAAAUUACAAAAGUAAAUUAAGAAGAGGUAUAAUUUUGUUAUAAUAAAGAAAAAAAGCUAAUUAUUUUUAAACACAGAGGGAUUAAAAAGUCUUAAACUAAGAUUUGAUUAAACACAAUGUUUUGUUACUAUUAUGGAUGGUUUUAGCCUUAUUUGUUUCAUACUAGCUGAUAGGGACAGUAUGUGGAAAUAUUAUAAGACCCACAAGAUUUGUGUGGCAAAAUAACUAAAUUAUGGUAUGCUUAUGUAGUAGCUUUUUAGAUCUAAAUAACUUCUUGAAUUUUGUUUUGUAGCAAUAAGACAAAUUCAUCAAUGGUUGUAGAUCCAACUUACAUCUAAAGUUUUAAGAAAUGUUGUGCAAAAGACAAUUAUCAAUCAAAACAUAUUUCUACCAACUUAAAAUUAUUUUAAUAAAUUUAUAUUUAUAUAAAUACUUUUAAAAUAAAUAAAUAAUAAGCUAUUAAAAAAAUAAAAUACCAUAUCAAAACAUAGUCUUUUGAAGCUAAUUUAAUCAUAUAUCAUAAAAGAAGAAGAAGGUAUAUAAAAUGUAAUUAGUUCAAAUUAUAAUAGAAUUUUAUUAGAACAAAUAAGAUUCUAUACGUAACAUUUUUUUCUAAGUUAUUUUUUUAUUUAAAAAUACCUCUAAUUCAUUAAAAAUAUUUAAAAUAUAUAUGUAUAUAACUAUAAAUAGAAAAAACGAAAUUUCAUAGUAUUAGUAAAUAUAUUAAUUGAGUUAUUCUUUUGAGUUUGAAAUAAAAUCCAUUGUUCAUCUGUAUAGUUUCAAAUGGAUUCAAUUUUAUUUAUUUAUUUAUUUAUUUAUUUAUUGAAUCUUGUUUGUAAGAACAAAACUUCUACAAAUUUAUUUAUAAUAUUUUUAAAAGGAUUUUUUAAUUAUAAAUAAAAAAUUAGAUUUAAAGACAAUCAUUUAAAGCUUUUAUAUUGAUUUAGGAAAAAAAAUGAAGUAAUAUAAAAAUUAAAAUAUAAAAUAUAAAAUAAUAAUCAAAAUUUAAAGAAAAUUUAUUAAUUUGGAUUCAAUAAAAGCUAACUCUAUGAUUUCAUCUAUUGUAAUGUGAUUUAUUGGUUGAUGAAUAUUAAUGCUUAUCCUACUUAAUGAUUUUUCUACAAAAAAAUGAUAAUUUUCCUAAAACUUAUAUCAGAAAAUGUUCUCAUAUUAUUUUAUUAAACCAUGAGAAGUAUAACACAUGAUAUAUAAAAUACACCACAUAGUAAGUUUCAUAAAUUUCGGAUGCAACUAUUGGUUGUGAUGUGACUCAAUUCUUGAAAGCAAACUUUAGAACUCAUCUUAAACUCAAAUUAAUGGUGUGCCGAGGACUUGAACGCCAUGUGCCAAGCAUACCAAGUCCGAGGAAGGCACACAACACUUCAAUAUAGAAUAUCCCACAUCGACGGCGUCCAUUCAAUCUAGUGCACCCAGAAACCGGGGGGCCAGGACAUGAAGGGGCCGGGCAGUGGGAAUGAGGAAGACUGCGCGUCCAGAAACCGACCCAGCCCGCGCGGCGGGCGAGGGUGAGCAGGGAAUAGGCGGGGCCCACGGCGUCAGGGAGAGUAGCGGCGCUGUCCUCCAAACACACCGCCUUCAAAUCUGGAGAUGAAGCAGAUCACACACCCAGCAGAUUACCCGAGCUCAAGUCGUGAGGCACAAAUAACUCCGGGCCCCCAAAAAGGGAUUGCUCCUAAGAAUCAAAUCGAAUGGAAUAAUAACCAGUGUUGUCAAUUCCUCCAUUCGGGAUUGGAUUCAUAAACCCCACUUCUCAACAUUCGCUGCCAGGCCUUCUCCUUCACCGCUCCGCUCUGCGAGCUUGGUUCUCGUUGCGCGUGGUCAUCUAGCGCAAGAACUCCCAGUGCCACAUCGGCUGUUGAGUUAGAGUGUCCCAACUCCGAUUCCCUAAGGUUAUAAGAUUUAGCAUAGGAACGAAUUUGUGAAAGUGUUGUACUUAGAGAGUGUGAAUUCGGUGGUCGACGGUUUGUAGCCGAGGGAAGAGGUGAGGUCGACAUGGAGCGGGCGAAGCAGCAGGUGGUGAAGCGGCUGGUGCAGCAGGCGGUGCGGCGGGCAGCUGCGCCGUCUGCGCCUGUGCGUUCUGGCGCUGCGUUGCGAGCUGCCGCUGGCAACGAGACGCGUCGGGGAUUCGGCGCUUCGCUGCUGCGUGGUAGCGGGAAUGGAGUGGUGCAGCUUCCGCUCGGGGUGAGGGCCAUUUCCGUGGAGGCUUUGAAGCCCAGCGACACGUUCCAGAGGCGUCACAACAGCGCUACCCUGGAAGAGCAGAAGGCAAUGGCUGGGAUGUGCGGAUUCGAGGACAUGGACGCCAUGAUCGACGCCACCGUGCCGAAGUCCAUCCGCAGGCCCGACCUGAAGCUGAGCAAGUACGCGGAGGGGUUGACGGAGAGCGAGCUGUUGGCGCAUUUCAAGUCGCUGGCGUCCAAGAACAAGGUGAUGAGGUCCUUCAUCGGAAUGGGGUACCACGACACGCACGUCCCCACCGUGAUUCUUCGCAACAUCUUGGAGAACCCCGGAUGGUAUACCCAGUACACGCCCUACCAGGCAGAGAUCGCGCAGGGGAGGCUGGAGUCGCUUCUGAACUUCCAAACCAUGAUCACGGAUCUCACAGGUAUGCCCAUGUCCAACGCGUCGUUGCUGGACGAGGGUACCGCUGCGGCGGAGGCCAUGACAAUGUGUAGCAACAUUGCCCGCGGCAGGAAGAAGACGUUCUUGGUGGCGGACAACUGCCAUCCCCAGACAAUUGAGGUGUGCAAGACCCGAGCAGACGGGCUGGGCUUGAAUGUUGUGGUGGCGGAUUACAAGAAGUUCGACUACAGCAGCAAGGACGUGAGCGGAGUGCUGGUGCAGUACCCGGCCACGGACGGGUCGGUGAACGACUACUCAGACUUCGUCAAGAACGCCCAUGCUCAUGGAGUGAAGGUGGUGAUGGCGACCGAUUUGUUGUCUCUUACGGUGCUGACCCCUCCCGGUGAGCUGGGAGCGGACAUGGUGGUCGGAUCCGCUCAGAGGUUUGGAGUUCCAAUGGGCUACGGAGGGCCGCACGCCGCGUUUCUGGCAACCUCCCAGGAGUACAAGCGUCUCAUGCCCGGGCGUAUCAUCGGUAUGAGCAUUGACGCCACUGGCAAGCCAUGCCUCCGGAUGGCCAUGCAGACUCGGGAGCAGCACAUUCGUCGUGACAAGGCGACCAGCAACAUCUGUACCGCUCAGGUAGGUUUUUGGGAGAGGAGAGGAGAGGAGGAGAGGUUUCUUGAUAGCUGAAAUGCACGAGGAAUCUGUUGCGCGCAACACGAAUUGGCUUGAUAUGUCGAUUAUAAGGGGAAUUCACCGCGUUCCUUGCUGCGUGCUCCACCAAUUCAUGUUCCGGCAACUGGUUUUGGUUGUCGCUGAUUGAUAAAUCUCGCCAUGGAGGGAUGUCUGACGAAAUUGGAACUGUUGACAGGCUUUGUUGGCGAACAUGGCAGCCAUGUACGCCGUAUAUCAUGGCCCUGAGGGUUUGAAGACGAUUGCGAACCGAGUUCAUGGAUUGGCCGCAGUAUUCAGCGCUGGAGUGAGCAAGUUGGGAUUCCAAACCGGAUCCGCACCAUUCUUUGACACAGUGAAGGUGACAGUUGGUGAAGGGCAGGUGGAGAAGGUUAUGAAGGACGCAGUUGCACACGGUGUGAACUUGAGACAGUUGGACUCGAGCUCGGUGAGUUGAUCGAAAGCCGUAUCUGGUCGCAAUUUUCUGCAACCGGUUGUUUCGGGGUAACCACACGGAGGUGAUAUGUAUGCUGGUUGUUCUGACGUUUAGCUGCCGGUUACGGAUGCACAGGUCACGCUAUCUUUUGACGAGACCACGACAAUUGGGGACGUGAACACUUUGUUCAAAAUUUUCGGUGGAGGCAAGAACGUGAGUGCACAUCAUUGUGGAAUGUCCCCUACACCUUGCUUGAAGGGAGUGAUUGGUUGAUACGGCGAUGUGUGCCUGUUGGGUUCCCUUCUUUUUGUUCUCAUUACUGGAGUCUGGUUGCACCACAUGUCUGAGUUUAGAUGUUUCAUUGGGUCCAGGUUGGGUUUACUGCCGAGCAACUGGCAGGGGAGGUGGAGAGCCGCCUUCCGUCCAGCCUGAAGAGGGACACCCCAUUCCUGACUCACCCGGUGUUCAACCAGUAUCACUCGGAGCACGAGCUGCUCCGAUAUCUUCACAGGUUGCAGGCGAAGGAUCUGUCGUUGGUCCACAGCAUGAUUCCGUUGGGCUCGUGCACGAUGAAGUUGAACGCUACCACCGAAAUGAUACCAAUUACAUGGCCCGAAAUGGCCAACCUGCAUCCGUUUGCCCCGGAGGAUCAGGCCCAAGGAUACCAGGUACGUUGUCUGGCGUGAGGGAGUGGUGGUUAUUUCUGUGUCGAUGCAGUGGAUCAUCCACGGGCGACCGCUUGUUGAAUACCGCUGCUGGAUCGAUGAUCGUCUUUCAGGGGCCGGACACAGGAGGGGACUGACUUGAAUCCGUUGUGCAGGAAAUGUUCAAGGAACUGGGUGACCUGCUGUGUGAGAUCACGGGGUUUGAUUCUAUGUCCCUGCAGCCCAACGCCGGUGCUGCUGGCGAGUACGCAGGGCUGAUGGUCAUCCGUGCCUACCACCUUGUAAGAUCGUCGGCGUGACCUGCUGUUCGGUGUUGGGAGUGUUGCAAUUAAGUUUGGAUACGCUCACUGUGGGGUCGGGGAUGGGAUGGUAUUGUGGGACUCAGGAAGUGGCAAUUUCUUAGAGGCAAAGUCUGACUUGCGCAGCUGUGAUUGCCCUCAGGCUCGAGGAGACGCGCAUCGUGACGUGUGCAUCAUUCCAGUUUCGGCUCAUGGAACGAACCCUGCAAGUGCAGCCAUGUGCGGGAUGAGAAUUGUGACUGUGGGAACUGACAAACACGGGAACGUGGAUAUUGCCGAAUUGAGGAAGGCAGCAGAGAAGCACAAGGACAAUCUGUCCGCUCUGAUGGUGAGUAUCAACCGAUGUUGGUGGGAAGAGACGGAGCUUGACUCGGGAUUUCGGUUGGAUAGGGGAAUGGAAUGUGUAGAUAAGACGAGCAGCAUCAGGGCUGCUGGAAAGGUUGUAGUCUGUGUGUUUGCAUUGGGUCGAAGUGACUGGGUGUCACGAACAGUGAGUGUGGCUUGGACAAUGCUCGGAGCCCGUGGUGGAGAGAAAUCGGCAUUGCUGGCCCGGUGGGGAGGUAGAUUAGCCUGCUGUUGAGAGCUGUGUCGAGGUUGAAGUGACGGAACUGAAGGGCACACGGUUUCUUGGAUCUGUCGUCUUUGUCAAUAGUGCAGAUGACCCACAAGGUUGAUGGCUUGACCCUUGAACAGGUGACUUAUCCUUCGACGCACGGUGUGUACGAGGAGGGCAUUGAUGAGAUCUGCAACAUCAUCCAUCAAUACGGUGGACAAGUGUACAUGGACGGUGCCAACAUGAACGCUCAGGUGGGGCUUACCAGUCCUGGUCACAUCGGAGCAGACGUGUGCCAUCUGAACUUGCACAAGACGUUCUGCAUUCCUCAUGGAGGAGGUGGCCCCGGAAUGGGACCCAUCGGAGUGAAGAAGCAUUUGGCUCCCUUCCUCCCAUCACACCCUGUGGUAAGGAAAUCCUGGCUUGCUGCAAAAACCCGAGUUCUUUGUGUGCGAGGGAUUUGUAAUUUUUGGUGUCGAGUCUGGAGAGUCGAUUGGGAUGGAAUGACUGGAUUGUGUGACGGCAGCGCGGUUUUCAGAACGACCUCUGACGAUUAAGUAUCGAAAUGCAGGUUGGCACCGGAGGAUUCCCAAGGCCGGCCAACACUCAACCAUUGGGGCCCAUUUCUGCUGCACCUUACGGAUCAGCACUGAUCUUGCCAAUUUCUUACAGCUACAUCGCGAUGAUGGGGAACAAGGGUUUGACGGAUGCCUCCAAGCUCGCGAUCUUGAACGCGAACUACAUGGCCAAGCGUUUGGAGGUUGGUGGAUAGGAUGAUUCAACACUCAGCGACGGGUCUUUGUUUUUGUUUUUGUUUUUUUUUGUUUUUAUUGGUUUUUGUGAAUAUUGGGCACAACAUGGAUUCAGCAGUCGUUGUCACUGUGUUACCGUGGUGUAUCUGACCGACAUGAUGUGGCUUGCGUGCAGAACCAUUAUCCAGUUCUGUUCCGGGGCGUGAACGGAACGUGUGCUCACGAGUUCAUCAUCGACUUGAGGAAGUUCAAGGUACUGAAUGCCGAGAAGCCCUGAGUAGUGAAGUGAAAUUUUGCCUGGAUAUGAAACAUGAGGAAUGGGAGGUUUAGGGUUCAUAGUUACUGAGCUGCUGAUUAUGUUGCGUGUGUAUCACAGGAAACUGCUGGAAUCGAGGCAGAGGAUGUGGCGAAGCGCCUGAUGGACUACGGUUACCAUGCGCCAACCAUGUCGUGGCCUGUGUCCGGCACGCUCAUGAUUGAGCCGACGGAGAGCGAGAGCAAGGCCGAGCUGGAUCGGUUCUGCGACGCCUUGAUCUCCAUUAGAGAGGAAAUCGCAGCAAUUGAGAACGGAGAGGCCAGCCGCGAGGACAACGUCCUGAAGGGUGCCCCUCAUCCAGCAUCGGUUGUGAUGGCCGACGACUGGACCAAGUCCUACUCGAGGGAGGUUGCAGCAUUCCCCGCAUCGUGGGUGCGAGCAUCGAAGUUCUGGCCCACGACAUCGCGUGUGGACAACGUGUAUGGAGACCGCAACCUCAUGUGCACGAACCCGUCCGCGGAAGUUAUUGACGAGAAGAUUGCAGCAGCCGCUUGAAUGGUAGAAUGCAGAUAUGAGUGUACCCCCGCAUUUGGAGGGUCCUAAAUAGUGUACUUAAUCGUGAAAGCUGCCCACAACAUAUCGUACCUCGGCAAAGCGGUUGCUGAGUGUUGUCAUGGUCAGUAGAACUCUGUCGUCCUCGUGUUGUCGACACGGCGUAAGGAUUGUAUAGCUGCUGUAGAUCCAUGUUAGGCGCGCCGCGUCUCUCACCGUCGUGGGGUAGAUCAGUCGAUAUUGCAAGCAUGAAAGCCCAUGUAUCUGAUGAUUCUUUGAACACAAAGUGUUAACUGGAUUUCAAUUGUACAACGAUCUCUAGCACUCGAUUAUGUGUCGCGACCUUGUUGCAUUUGAAUGUCGUCACUGUCAUUAUGGCUGUGUUGUCUGAGUAGCACCUGAGCCUGGGUGGUCAUACUGAAAAAUCCCAGAAUUAUGUGAGCUCGUAUUAUGUUUUAGGUUAAUGCUGGUAUUGGUAUUGGUCCAUAUUUAACAUAAGCCCUUGACUAAUUGGGUAUUAGUUUAUAUCACAUUAGGAAUGUUGCUGUUAUGCAUGGAUAUAUCCUUGCUGAUUUUAAUUGUUAAACAAUUUAAAUUUGGGAUUUUUAAUUUGACACAUUUAAAAUUUUAAACAUAAUUUGAGUUAAUUGUUUGCAAGAAAACACUAGAUGCAUUAGUAUCCAAACUUGUGUUUCUUUAGCCUAAUGUCUUUGGCAAAGCUAUUGCCAUUGUGGUUGUUUUGAUUUUUUUUUUUUUUUUUUUUUUUUUUCAUAUACUUAACACCAUGUCUUGUUUAAUCAAUGUCCAUUUAAUGUCUACUAUAUCUACCUCCAUUGCACUAGAGAAAGGCCAAUCUAUUAAGCAAUGACUUUUUCAACAUUUUCUUUUGGCUUGAAGUUAAGAACUUUUAUAGCAUAUUUGGCAUCAACAUCAACAAAGAUUAGUGUUGCUCCAUUGAUUAAAAGAACAAGUUCUUGUACAUUUAUAAUAGUGCUUAGCUCUGUGAGUUGAAUACGCCUCUAUCUUAAUCAAAAGGCCAUGAGAGGGCAACUUCAAAGUUACAAGGCAAAGCUUCUAAAAACACUAGAAGAAUCUAUGCAAAUAGGAUAUGGUGUCACCAAAGGCGACAAAAAGAAGGUAGUAGUCACUAUCAAGUAAAAGCUCAAUAAAAGUUGUCUCCAUUUUGAGAAGAUGAAGAAGCUCUUAAGAAAAAAGCCAACUACCAAGCCUCAUUAUACAAUCAACUUUGUAGUCAAUUUGUUAUUAGAGGAGUACAAUAAUAUUGGAGCAAAUGAUAAAGAAGAAACUAACAAUAACAAAUUAGACAUUGAGGGGUUUGAAGUCAUGGCUAAAACCACAAAGUUGUAAAAAUAAAAUAUUUAGAAAAAGCACUAAAAUCAAAACAUUCACAUUCUACAACCCAGCUUUAUCCUCACAUAGUCUUAAUUUCCAAAACCUAAACCAUAAAGACAAUGAUAAUUAUUAAAAAAAUAUAUGUAAAAAACCAUGUAUUCUUUAAAGCUAAAUUAUUUUUUGGAAACACCUUCCUACAGAUUCUUUAGCUUUAUAAUUCCAUUCUCCAAGCAAUUCAAUCCUUGCUCCAAUUCAAUCACCAUCUACUUAUUAAUCAUUGUCAUUACACCCACUUCUCUUCUACAUCUAAAUUCUCUCUUCCACCAACACAAAAAUCAUUUUUUAAAAAAAAUUAAUCACUAAAACUUUCUCUUUUUUUUCUACAAAUACUCAAGAUGCGGCAAGACAAAAGUAACAAGUCUCAAUUGGCUUCAUGAAUUAAUUAUGCACAAAAGAGAAAUAAAGUAUCAUUUCAUAAAGAGGUUUCUUUUCUACCACAACAUUGCCCUUGCAAAUGUAUUUCAAGAGGGAGUAAAGCAAAGAUGGACAUUUUGGACUUGAUUUCAUCCAAUAUCAACUUUUGUGGCAACCCAAUUAUCAAGAUUAAAAUGCAAGAAAAAAUUAUAUUGUUUAAAUUUUAUAAAGUAAAUGUUGAAGAACUUGAUGUAGAAACAAAUUUGAUAUUUUUUAUUACUUCUUCUAAUAAAUUCUAUUUGUACAAAUAAUUGAUUCAAUUUAUCAGGAAAGAAAAAAAUUUUAAAAAUUAAUAGAUAUCAUGAUAUACACUUUUUUGAUAUCAAUAUUGAUUUUGAAGGAUAUAAAAACUUAUGUUAAAUAUCUAUGUUAUUCCUUGAAAGUGAUCAUAUCUGUAAUAUCAUAAUAAUAUUGUGUUCUUCUUCAUUUGUCAUUUUUUAAUCAAAUCUUUGUAAUCUUUUUAACAAAAUCAUAAGAAUAUACCUUUGCUAGAAUUGAGUUCUUCUUAUUAGCUAUAUAUUAAAAGAUAUCUUUAAAUAUCAUCAAAAUCUUCUAGAUGUUUUCGGGAUAGAAAGAGUUUGUCUCAAGAAAGCACUGGGCUCCUAACUACCACUAAUUGCUCAAUCAAGUCUUGAGAUAAGGAAGACUAAGUUUGUAUAUAUACAUAUAUAUAUAUAAUACUUUUAGGAGAAAUUACACCGAAUAUAUAGUCUUAAGUUCCCAAAAUAUCCAAAAUAUGAUAAAAACAAAAAAAACUCUAAAUCCUUGUAUAUCCUUAUGGGGUAUUAUUUCUGAACUUCAAAAACUCAUAUCUUUCAAUCAGACCAUUCAAAUACACUCAAGUUUUACAAGAAGUAGUGAUGUACUUCUAAAAACUACUACAACAAAUUUCAACUACAAAUUUGAUGCGGAUCUUAAGAUAUCACCAAAACCCUAAUAGUAGCUUCAAACCCUAGUUUUUAUACACUCUCGUGUAAUUUUCUUCAUAUCUCACAAAUUAAGCACUCAAAUGCCACAAAAUUUGUAUGUAUAGCUUCUUGACACAAAAAUCUACUUUCUCCAAAAGGUUUGAGUCCAAAAUUCAUCUAGAAACUCAAGAUAUGGCUCCAACCAUUACUAUGAAUAAAAUCACUUACUUACUGCCUUUGAUUUGGAUGUGCUGACUUCAACCCUCUAUAACUUCUUCAUUCAAACUCCAAAUUCAUCAAAUAGUAUAUGAAAAGUGUAGUCAAAAAAGUCUUCUCUCCAAUCCUGGUCGCCAAUCUUUCAUUGCUCUCCGUAAACGUAUUUUAUGCCCCAAAGAGUGACAAUUGGUAUGAAAUUGACACCUCAACUUUGACCGUCAAUAACUCCUUCAUGAAAACUCCAAAUCACACAAAAUUUGCACCCAAUUUGUAUGUGAAAUCCUAAAAUUGAUGUUUCUAGCCUUUAAAGCUCAAAUGACUUCAAAAGAGAAACCCUAAUCCCUAAUAAGGCCUCAUCAGCCCCCUUGAAGCCCAUCGGGCAUGGCCUUCGACCAAUAGGAAUGAAGAUCUCCAUUCCUUGCCUUCAUUCAACCAUGCCUUGCUUUCAUUCCUUCCAAUAAGCCUCCUACUAGUUAAGAUUUUCAUCUUUAGGCUCUAAUCUCCUCUCAAGGUUUCACACUAAAUACUUAGGUCUUAUAAUUUUUUUAAAUGCUAUAAUCAAAAUAGAUAAAACUUAAAAUAAAGUUUUUUAUAUCCACUUUAUUUAAAUUAACCUAUUAACCAUUCUAACAUAUACCAAGACUUAUGAACAUAUUAUAUGACUUAAUUAAUUUUUACAUACUAUAAGUAAUUAUAGUACGAAAACAUUGCAUAUACACACUAAUUAAGUCUUAGAGUAAUAAAUCAAAGCUACUAUAGCAUCAAUCUAAUAGUCAUCUAUAAGAAAUUUUCUAAAUUUCUUGAUAGCUUUUAAAAGAAGAAAGAAGAAGAAAAAUAAAAAAAUAAAAAAAUAAAAAAAAAUAAAAAAUGAAGAAAGAAAGAAAGAACAAAAUCUAUUUUGCUAUGCUUACUCUAUGUAUAAUUUAAAUAGAUAGUAACAAGGCAUAUUUGAGCUUUGAGGCCAGAAUUAAAGACUAUGUAUUCCAAUUUAACACAACCUUUAUAGUAUGAUUGUGCUUUAUGAAUGCUAGCAUCGUCCUUGCAAUUGCCCUUAAUUCUAAUAAAUAUCUAACGUGUCUAUAGAAUACUAAUUGCUUUGAGCACAUUGAAAUAAUAUCCAACGAUUUAGAAAAAAAAGUUGAUGCAAAAUAAGAGACAUCAUUAGAUAGAAAAAGUGAACCUUGAUUACAAAUUAUAUAUUAAGAAAAAUUGUUGAAAAUAAGUGUGUUUCAAUCCUUAAAAGUUUCUUAAUAAAUAUGCACAAAUACUAUAAAAGAUUAUAUAAGAGUUUUUUAAGACAUGAAAGGAACUACACCAUCUUUGGGAUGUGAAAAUAAAGUAAAGAAGAUUUUAAGAUGAAGUAUAAUGGAUUGAAGUUCAACACUUAUAAGCUAGAUAUCCUAUCAAUCUCUUUCCAUUGAUACACUACAUUUAUUUUUUCUUCCCUCCUACCUUCUUUCUACGUAUUCUUUCUCUUUUUGAUGAACUCCAAUCUACAUUGCAUGAAAAUAGAGAACUCACUUUAUACCAUCUUUAAAAUAAGUACAAGCAUUUUCAACUUUUUCUUUUCACAAUGCCACUAUAUUGCUGAGCCACCUUACUCCUUUUUUGUCACUUCUAUGAUGAUCAUUAUAAGCUUAUGAAUAUUAGUUCCAAUGCCAUUACAUCUUCUUGUAUUAUUAAGACUUAUCUACAACAUCUUCAUACAUCUACAUCAUUUUUUCAAUAUACUUAAGAUUAGAAUAAAUUAUGAUUUCUAUAAUAAAGUGGCUAGGAUAAAUUAAAAUAUACUUAUAAUAUUUUUUUAAAUAAGACAAACAUUCUUGAGUGUUAAUUUUAUAACAUGAUAUUAAAGCAAAAUUAAGGUAGUUUUUAAGAUUGAUGAGCCUUAUUUCUAAUUUAAAAAAUAAAAUAAAAAAGUAUCAGAAGAGAUCAUAGAAAGUAGAGAGAAAUUUACAACCUAUAAAAUAGAAGAGUUGAGCAAUCUAGUUGAAGCUCAAAACUAUGUUGUUUGGAAGUUGAAGAUGACUACUAUCUUAAAGAGAAAGAAUCUAUAGAAUAUUAUAGAAACCAAAACAAUAGUAUCAUUUUUUUUCAUUACCAUAUUAGAAAAAUCUUAUACAGAAACUUAGCUUGAAAAAGCAAAGCAAAGAGUCCUAUCAGGUCUUACUAUGUCAUUUGCAAAUAGUUUUAGAUACGAUUUUUCAACACAACAACCAUGUAGAUUCAUAGAAUAUAAUUAUAAGAAUAUUUUAUAUAUGAGAUCAAUAAAAAAUUAUGUUAUUGAAUAAAAAACUUAACAAAAUGACAAUAAAAGAAAAAAAUGACAUUAAUACUUAUCUAAUUGAGGCGAUUAAUAUGAAGAAUCAACUAAAUUCAUGUAAUGAAGAAAUUACAAAUAUGAUUCUUGUAAACAUAGUCUUCAAAGGAAUUACCACAAAGCUACAAAAUGAUGAUCUAAGGUAUUACUUAUAUGUAAUAAUCCAUAUUUGAAGAUGUUAUGGAUAAGGUUUUCAUCAAAACUCAUUGCAUGGCUGUAAAAGAGCAAAAUUUGAAACAAAAAUAAGCCUCACUAGUACAAUUUCAACAAACAAACCAAGGAAGAUGUGGAUACAACUACUUUAUACAAGGAAGAGGAAAUUAAAGGAGAAGGAACUUAACUCAAGGAAUACUACAUCAUUUUUUCUUGCAUCACUUCUCGAGACUAAAACCUCACAUGAAUAACUAGCAUCUUUAGAAUAGACCUAGAGAAGCUUUAUACUUUACAAUAAGAUGAUUGCAAAUUCUUACAACUAGAUUUGAAUUUAAAAAAUAUAAUAUUAUUUUUUUAUUAUGUAUGUAGAAGUUCUAAUCGAAUUGCUUGAGACAAUCCACAAAAUCAACAUAAACUAUGUAGAAGGAAGUAUUUACAAAAAAAAUUAAAAAAAAAAUAUAAGUAAAUUCAAUUUUGUUCAUAAGAACUAGUAUGUUGACUUGGAAACCAACAACCAUUUUAUCAGAGAAAACUUUAACUUUUAAUUAGUAGAUGCACAAACUCCAAGUACAUUAAAGAAAAAAAACCCCGCAAAUGGCAGCUCCCACAAGAUUGAGGCUACUGGUUCAGCUCAUAUAAUUUCAGUAUGUGGUGCAAUAUAUCUUUAUGAUAUUUUGUAUAUCCCAGCCUUAGAUUGAAAUUUGAUUUUAGUAAAAACUUUCAUAGACCACAGCAAGUUAGUUAUGUUUACAAAAAAAUAUUGUUUGAUGUUGAAAUAAGAUAAAAAAUUAAGUGCCUCAGAAACAAGAAAUAAAGAAAACAUACUUUAUUAAUUCUAUAAUAAAACAUCAAAACCAUUUAUCAUUGAAGUAAAUUUUGUAAAAAAAAAAAAGAAGACAAUAUUAGACUAUAGCACAAAAGAUUUGGAUACUUAUAUUAUGCAACUUUACAACAUUUGUCAAAGGCUCACCAAGUACAAGAACUACCACUACUUCAUAUACUACAAGAAAUGUUUGAAGAUUGCCUUGCUAGAUGAUAUCAUUGAGAAAGGUCUUCAAAAAAUUUGUUUCAUUGAACAAAAAAGGUAAUACAAUUUAUAUACUCUAAUGUAGUAGGACCUAUAAGAAUACCAUCUUUGAGAAGCUUCAAAUACUUUGUAAUAUUCAUCGAUGACUACUCUCAAAAGAGUUGGAUAUACUUCUUACAAAAUAAGAGAGAAAUACACAAGAAAUUUAAGUAAUUAAAAAACAAGUAGAAAAAGAAAUAUGAAAUUAUAUAUUAUAUCUAGAGACAAAGAAAGGAAAAAAAAUAUUAAACACAAAAAUUAAAUGACUACUUAAUAAUACAAGGAAUCAAAAGGCAAUUCAACAUGGUACAUAUUCCACAGCAAAAUAGAAUUGAUGAAAGAAAAAACUAUAUUAUAGUUAAGAGAAUAUCCUUAAUAUCUAUUGCAUAUAAAUUAUUAGUCUAUUUAUAAAUAAAAACAAUCUACUAAACAAACUACUUAAUAAAUAUUAGUUCUAUUAGAACAAACUACAAAAUCAAUCCAAAAUAACUCUAUAGUAAGACCAAGAUAUAUGUAGACCACUUGAAAGUAUUUGGAUUGGUUGCCUAUUUUUACAUUUCAAAAAAAGAUAGACCUAAGUUGAACAGUAAGACAAUUAAAUGUAUAUUUUUGAAAUAUUAUAUAUAAAUCAAAGCCUAUAGAUUAUUUGAUUCUAUAUAUUGUAAAAUUUGAGUUAAUUGAGAUAUAGUAGUUGAUGAGCUCUUAAUAGGUUUUGAAUAUAUAAAAAAAAUUACAAUUCUAGUAAAAGAAGUAGAAAUAUUUUUUAAAAUAGAAUUAUUAAUUUGAGAUAAAAUUGAUAUAAUAAAUCAACAAAUAAAUAAUAAAGGCAAGUUAAUUAUGAGUCUUGAUUUUGAAGAAGAAUAUACAAGCUCUUCAAUAGAUACACUGUAAGCAGAUAUCCUAUUUGAAACUAUCUAUAGUAAUGAUUCUAAUGCACUUGGGAAAGCUCUUUAGCAAAUAAAUAUAGAACACAAUCAUCAGUGCAUAUACUCUACUUAAAAUAAAAAAUCUAAUAUAAGAUUCAAUGAUAAUUACAUGCUUACAUUUAAAAUAGAAUUAAAACUAAGGAAUUAUAAGGAAGCAAUAUAACAUAUUGGAUAACAAGAUGCAAUCAAAGAAGUAGAAUCUAUAUAAAAAAAUAAAAUUUGGAAUUUAAUAAAUAUACUUCAAGGAAAAAAUCUAGUUUGUGCUAAAUAGAUCUUUAAGACAAAAUUGAGAGUAAUUAGCAACAUUAAAAAACUUAAGGUCAAGAUUAUAGCUUAAGGCUUUGAAGAAGAGGAAAAAAUAGAUUUCUUCAAAAUCUUUUUCCAUGUGGUUAGAUGGACAAUUUUUAGAACAACCAUAGCAUUAGAAGCAAGAAAAAAUUAGAAACUACAAUAUUUAGAUGUUAAAACAACAUUUCUUCAUAGAAAGUUCAAAAAAGAAGUAUAUAUAUUCCUACUUCCAAGUUUUAAACAAAAAAGAAGUAAAGAAAAAGCUUAUAAAUUAGAAAAGGUACUAUAUGGGCUAUACAAUGCUUGUAGACCCUUGUAUGGAUGCAUUAAUAACUAUCUAUGAAAUCAAAAUCUAGAGAAGAAUAACAAAGAUUUUAAUAUAUACUUCAUAAUCUAAGAUACAAACCAUGCAAUAGUAUUGUUCUAUGUGGAUAAUAUAAUAGUUAUAAGAAAUAAUACAAUAUACAUUCAAGCACUCAAAAAAAGUCUAAUAAAUACUUUUGAAAUGAGAGAUUUUAGGGAGGCAAAACUUUACUUGGAAGUCAAACUAAAAUACACUAUUGAAGGGAUUUAUUUUUACUGGCAAAAUUACCUUCAGAAUAUUGUAGUUCCUUGAAUAGUCUGUAAAUUAAGAAAAUAUUUUAAAUAUUUCAAAAUUAAGAAAAUAUUUUAUAUUAUAGAAUAUUUUAUCUUUCAAAAGACAAAAGAUGACUUCUCAAAUUUACAGACAUUGAUUAGGCAAGAGAUAUCGAUUUUCAAAAAUUGAUAUUAAGGAUACUGUAUAAAAGCAUAUUGACUAGGAUUGGUAUAUGUAGGAUGAUGAAGUAAGCUUCAAACAUCAAUUGUGUUCUUAUUGAUAGAAGCAAAAUAUUGUGUUUUAACUGAAGUUGCUUGCAAUGUGACAUACUUUUACAGACUAUUCAAGGAACUUUAUUUAGAUGACAAAAAUCCCAUUCUACCACUAUAUAAUAACAUAAGCAUCAUUAAGGUGAAAAUCUAGUCAUGCAUUAGGGUACAAAAUACACAAAGCUAGACCAUCACUAUAUCAAAGACAAAGAACAAGAUGGAAUAAUUGAGCUACAAUAUACUCCUACAUAUUUGCAAUAUGCUGACAUUCUUAUGAAGCCUCUAGGACCAAUUGAAUUUGUUGAAAAUUAAAAAAACUAUAAUUGUGCACCUAAUUGUGGAAGGUAAGUAGAAAUAUAGCAACAAUUCUACCAAAUCAAAUAAAAAUCUCAAAUAAACUUUAAGUAAAGUUUAAUAAUCCUAAUCAAAUUUUGAACAAUUUAACAUAAAUUUAAAAGAAGUUAUAAAAGAAACACAAAGAAGUCCUAAACUAACCUCUAAGAAAAAUAACAAGAAAAAUUAAAAAAAAAAAAUCUUUAAAAAAUAUUAGAGAUAGAAAAUUUUAAAUAAAUAAUAAAAAAUCCUUCUAAAAUACUAAAAAUAAAAAUCAUAGGUAAAUCCUAAUCAAAUCUUAAUCUAAUUCCAAUUGUAAUCCUAAUAAAUUUUAACCAAAUUUUAGAUCAAAUCCUCAUUAAAAUCCUAAUUAAAUCUUAACCAAAUUUUAAAUCAAGUACUAAUUGAAAUUCUAAUUGAAUCUUAACCAAAUCCUAGGUCAAAUCUUAAUAAAAUCCUAAUAAAACCUAAAUCCUAGAUAAAUCUUAAACCAAACUUUAAGCAAAUCCUAAUCAAAUUCUAAAUCUUAAACAAUCUCUUAACAAAUCCUAUAAUAGAUUGAAAUCUCAAUAUCUAAUGAUCGAACUAUUGAUAUCAAUUCAAAAUUUGUGCACUUCUUAAUAUCUUAGUUUAAAACAAGCAUAUGAAAGAUGAAAUUGAUCGUACUUAUCAAUUAAGAUAUAUGCAAGAUAAUCCAAUUAGGUAUUGGGUGGCUUCCUACUCUAACCUCAACAUUAAACAUCCAAUGCCAAUAUCUCUUUCUUGAAUUAUUGAAUUACUCUUAAAUUUCACCCAAAUGUUGCAAAUUGAAUCUAGUAUCUAUAUAAAAAAAAUUCACUUCAAUCCAAUUGAAAAAUUACUAACGAUCUCAAAAAUACUCAUUAACCUUCAAACUGUAAUUUUUGAGGCGUCAAUCCACAAAAAUCUUUAUAUAUUUCAAUAUAAUUAUUUAAUUGACCUCAAAAUUUUCAUACACAUUUACAACUAACACACCAAUACAUCUCUCAAAUUUUAUCCAUAUAUAUACCACAAAACUCAAAA
rnacentral:lncRNA from 1 species